GAUUUCUCCAGUUUUAACAUUUUGAUUUUGUGCGUUCUUUUUAAAUUUUCUUAAAUGUAAAAGGAAACAUAGGGGAGUAACUAAUUGCAUAAAACAAAUUCAUGAACAAACAAAUCAAUAUACAAAAGUAAAUAUAAAACAAUAUAUAUAAAACUGGUGUAAUAUUAGUACAAACUACAAAGAGGUCUCACACUCUUAUUUUUCUCUCUAACCUACAAAACAUCACAACGUAAUAAAUAACAAAAUAAACAAUAUGUAAGUGUGUAUACCAAUAAUAAUGCAAGUAACCUCUCAAGAAAUAAAAAAGAAUGAAUAUCCCUCCAACACACAAAUCCCAAUAAGAAUAUAAUCAAAUUAGUUUCUGACGAGAGCCACGAGGGACACCGCCAAUGAAGAAGCGACGACGGCGGCGGAGAGUGGCAGAGAGCAAGCAGCACCGGCGUCAGGCGACGGCGCGGGGGCGGAGCUGAAGUCUCCCUGCGCAAAUGCAGCGGAGAGAGCAGACAUGACGGCCACAAACAUCAACAUCACCAUAGCCUUAGAAGCUGCCAUUUUUUUUUUCAAUAAUACAAAAUCUCUCUACUUUUCAAUAAUAAACCAACUUUCUCGUUAACUUCAGUUCUCGAUACUUUCACAGCUCUCGAGGGGCGUAUUUAUAUACACAUCCUCAUGUAGAGAGAGAAAGAAGAGAGAGAUAGAGAGGCGGUUGUGUGAUUACGCGUGGGGCCAGGAAAGGUGUGGACAGGUGGCGAGGGAGACAUGCCCAUGUCGGGAAAAGGUUGAUUUGAAGAAGCAAAACCAGUUUAGAAAUGUAAUGAUAAGCCGUCUCACCAAAUAACCACACCACGCUCAUGAUGAAUCAUUUUAUUUAAUUAAUUAAUUGUGUGAAUAAUUCAAACUUCUAAACAUUGGUACAUUAAUUCUUAGGAAUUGUAAGUAAUAAAUUUCAAAUCACAAAACAAGAUGAAUAUCUCAAACAAGUGUUGGGUGACACAUGGUGUGUGGGGAAAGAGAGGUAAUUAAGACAUAUGGCCAAGCUGGUUUGAUUUAGGCCUUGAAAAAAAAAAGGGGCUGUUUACCUAAUUAUUUUUCUUCAUUUCUAAGCUAAGAUUUCGUAGUCGGUGCACUCUCCUCUAUUCACCAUUGUAUUUCGCUCCAUCACAGGGGCGGAGCUAGGAUUUUUUUUGGGGGGGGCUGAACUGUUACGGGGUUCGGGGGCGGUAGCCCCCGAAAUUUUUUUUUGAGGGCAUUCAAUACAUUUUAGACAUUUUUUACUAAAAUACAAAUAUAAUCAUAAUAAUAACAACAUUUUUAUAGAUAAUAUAGUUCAAAACAUUUACUAAUUUUUUUUUUGGUCAUUCAAUACAUUUUUAGACAUUUUUUUACUAAAAUACAAAUAUAAUAAUAAUAAUAAUAAUAACAACAACAUUUUCAUAGAUAAUAUAGUUCAAACAUUUACUAAAAUUUUUUUGGGGGCAUUCAAUACAUUUAGACAUUUUUUNAUUGAUGACAUCGCAAACACCUAUGACAUGUCAAUUAUAUGUCAAUCAGCUAUGACAUGUCAUUGUUUUAUUUUUUUUAAUAAUCUUAUUUAUUUAUAAUUAAUUUUUUUAAAAAAUCACCUACCCUACCCCCCAUCCCAAACACCCCUCAAACCUACCCCUUCCCCAACCCCCGACCACCACCUCCUAAACCCCGGCCUACAAACACCCCCAAACUCUACCCCCUUCCCCAAACCCUCUUCACCUCUUCCAUCUACCCCCCAUCCCCGAACAUCCGGAGCCGCUACUGCCCAAAAUCGAAAAAAGGAGAGAGCUGUGGUUGUUGCUGUCUCUGGGGACGAUUUGGGGUGGCGAUUUGCAGAGGGAUUUAGGGUGGCGAUUUGAAGGAGGGAGGCCGCGAUUUGGACUGGCGAUUUGAAGGAAGGGAGGUUGCAAUUUGCAGAGCGGCGGUGGGUGGCUUUCUGCUGCUGCGCCGCCGGCUUUCUCCAAUCCCUAAAUCGAAACCCUAGGACCGAGAAUCAGGCGAGAAAGGCGAGAGAUAGAAAUGAUCGGCGGCGGUUGUUUUUUCCGGCGAAGAAGGUGUGUACGAGAGAGAGAAUUUUAUCAUUUUUUUAAGUUGUUGGAAAUCAAAACGACGUCGUAUAGUUUUAAAAGAAACGACGUUGUUUUCUUAUGCCGCCGACUAUGCCACGCUGUAAUUACAGUAGUCCAUGUCAUCUUCAAGUUUGGGGGAUUUUUUAAUUUUGGGAACAUUAAGAACAAAUUCUUGAUUCAUGUAUUCCUACGCCAAUUUUUAAAUUGGUGAGAAUAUCGUGAAAUUUCGAAAAGCUUUUGAACUUUACGAUAAUUAACCCUUUUCAAUUUCAUAUCCGUUAUCGUUUCCAUUUAUGUAGAGUUUACGUUUUACAACUAUUUUCAAUUUUUUUUAGAAUUCGUAUAGUUUGAUUAUUUGAGAUUAUAUUGCCCCCAAGUUACUCAAAAUUAAGAACAAUUACAGCAGAGCUCGAUCGAAAGGCUCGAGCCUUGUCGUACUUGGAGGCUCGAUGGAGGACGCAAUUUCAAUAGCCUAGCUCUAAGGAGGAGAUGUGGUGGGAUGCACGCACUCCUUUGAAAAAAAUUGAUUUUAGAAAUAUAAGAAAAUAAUUUUAAUUUUAAUUAAAUGUAAUUUCUCUUUUUAUAGUGCACUUUAUAUUGUAAGGACAUACACUAUGGGGGGCGCGGGCGCGCACCAAGGUGUUCGCUCUUCCAUUGUGGAGGGUGGACUCUUAAAUGGUGGGGAUAGGGGUGAGCAGUCGGUCUGGACUGAACCGAAUCGGACCGACUGAAACCCUAGGACCAAAUCGGAUCAUAACCACCCAUCGGUUCUCGGUCCGGUUCGGUCCAAUCGACGAUUUCCGACAGUUUGGAAAAAAACCCAAAAAAAUCUCAUUUUUAAACAUAUUUUAGCCUGUUUAACAAUAAUAAUUCAAUACACUAAAAAUUAGGCCUUAAGCUUUCAUUUCAAAAUUCAGAAUAUGUUGAUAAAAAUUAAAAUUCAGAAUUAAGAAAUUAAUUAAAAUAUUAAUAAUAUAUAUAUAUAUAUAUAUAUAUUUAAUAUAUAUAUUCGGUUCGGUCCGAUUUUCGUCGGGUUUGCCUCCCCCGGACCGAAACCGAACCAAUAAUCUUUCGGUCCACCAAAAUAGAACCGGACCGGACCAAUAUAUGAAUCAAAACCGCCCGGGAACGAAAAAAUCGAUCGGUUCUGGUCCGGUUUUGCUCACCCCUAGGUGGGGACCACUUUUAAGAGCCCACCUUGACUCUCCAUUGUGGAUGCCCUAAGUCUACACUUUAAAGUGAAAUUCAAAAUGUAUGUUUUCAAAUCGUUUUAAUUGUAAUUUUUAAUUUAUAAUUAUUUUUUAUUUUAAUUAUUGUAAUUUUUGAAUUUAAAUUUAAUAGAGUUUUAGAUUUUAAAAUUCAAUAUUUAUAAAUCUUAGAAUGCAUUAUUUUUACAAAAUGAAAUUAAAAUUCAUAAAACCCCUUAUAGAAAUCCCCCAUUGUGGAGGGGUGGAUCUAAGGUGGAGCCUACCUCUAUAUAGCUUCCAAGGGACUCUCCGCCCUAACAACUCUAAGUGGAUUUAAGAUUUUUGAAGAUAAUGUGCGUGUGUUGGCCAAGCGGUAAGGGGUUAAUGCCUAACGAGUCUCCUGUGGUGCAACCUUUAAAUUUCUUUAUUUAAUACUGUUAAUUUAUCAAAAAAAAAAAUCAAGAUAAGUGUUGUGUGUUGAUCUAGCUGUGUAGGAGGUUAAUGUCAAAGACCUGAAGUCCUAGGUUCGAGUCCUCCGUCGCGUGAUCUUUAAAUUUCUUUAUUUAUUUAUGUAAUUUAUCAAAAAAAAAUUAAGAUAAAUUUUGUCAUAAAGGAGGUUAAUAAUCAUAAACCAUGACUAAUUAUUAUAUAUGGCAUUGUCCCGAGAUUAAUUCACGGGCCGAGUAUGUUUAAUCAAAUAAAAUAUCAUGAGAUGAAAUUCAUCAAAUCGAACACCACUAUCUAUAAUCGCAUGCUCGCUUCUUACGACAUGUAGAGAUGUCUUACAACAUACAUAUAAUAAUUGCGAAAAUCUUAAGCAAAUGCAAGUAAGAAAAAAAGAAUUGAACCGAAAAUAAUAAGUGAAUACGAAUGAAAAAUAAAUCUCUAGAUCAAGCUAUCAAUCGAUAAUAAAAUAAAGAAAAAAAAACAAUAUUAUUCUUACCCCUUAAGACAUUUUCCUUACACUCGACCGAAUAAUUCACUUUUCCAGCUUGAACUAUAACACUCGGAAGUUGACAGUUUUUUCUAUUUAGGUGAUUCAAUGACUCAAAUUUGAGUUCAAAUUCAUGUACAUGAAUUAUCUAAUGUAUCUGCGUGUAAUGAUUAUAAUAGUAUUGCAAAAUACUAUAAUGUAUAAUCAUAAGUCUUAAAAAAUAGUAUUGCAAAAUAUUUUAAGACUUAUGAUUAUAAUAGGUCGGCUGCAUUUUGGACGGAUUCAACAAUUUGGAAUUCUCGUAAGUUUUUAAUCUCUAACACGCAUCAAUUUUAUUGGUUAGCCCAAUAAAAAGUCUUAAGAUUUUGUUUGAAGUCUCAUUUUAUAUGUAUAUUAAUAUGCUGUUGAUAGUUUCUUUUCUUUUCAAGCUAAUAGUAGAUAGGUUAAUUUUGACCAUUUCUUUUUAUUUAAUGCUAUGAUAUAGAAUACCUAUGCAAGAGGGGCACCUAACUUUUACAGCCACUAUGUGGCAACGUUUACGAAAUUGGACUCAGUGAUUGGUAGUGUGAAUUUAUUUGAACUGAAAAUUUGGAAAUUUAUUGUAAGUCGGCUGAAUAGAGAUGGUAAGAGCAUCCAUAUUAGGCAAGCUUUCGAACUCGCAGGUGGGCUCCAUCCGUUUUAAAGCCAUUGGCUCUAACAGCAAUGAGACUCAUCUCAUAGCCAAGAUUUUUCUCAUUUUUUUUUCUUUCUAUUGAGUGUUCCCUCUCACGCUCUUUUCUCUCUCUCUCCAUGCGCACCCAUAGCGCAUUUGCGGGCGCUGCUCAUACCAGUCUGGCACGCACUUUCCGUGUGCCCUGCUGCGGAUGCUCUAAGAAGUUGGAUGUUAUUUUGAACACACUAAAAUUUGUAUUUUUCUCGGUGUGAAUUUUUGGAAUUCUUUUAGAUAAAUUUGAAAUUAAAAUGAGUUGUUUGUUUUAGUAAAAGAAAUUGAGUGAGGAAAUUUAAGAUAAUUUAAAGUAUAAGAUUUUUUUAAAAGAAAGUAAUUUUUUUUAAGGUUCAAUGCAGUGAAAUUAUUUUGAUUUGUGUUCUCAAAUUCUUGAUUUUUUUUAGUAACAAACACUCAUGUUAAUGCGUGAGAGAAAAAAAUUGAUCAUCUUCAUGAAUUCAAAUUGUAGUAACGAAUUUGAUAGUUUGUAUUUUCUACUAAAAAAUUAAUAAAAUUGGUAACAAAUGUAGUAAAUCACUUGUCUUGAUUGAGAGGCUACUUUAUAAUGUCCUCAAAUUUUUAAAAGUGAAAAUUUAACCUUUCAUGUUUGUGUGAGUGAUUUGGUAGGUAUUGUACUCUUAUUUGUAUGAUAAGUAUAACAAGAAUCACGAUAAAUAUGAAAUCUGAACAAAUACUACAAAAUUCUCUAUGGCCACUAUCUUAGGGCCAUAUUUGGGCCCAAAUAGCCCGAUUGGGCCCAAAUAUAGAUCACGGACGCCGAAAUUUAAAAUAUGGUAUAUGUUUAUAAAUAUGUAAAAAAGAUUGUAUAUUUUUGCAAUUCGUCCUAAAAUAGUGGCCUAACUUUUUUAAAACACUAGUCUUAGUUGUAAAGAACAUGAAGCAAAUAAGUUAAUAACAACUCUAUAUAUCAUGCAUGCUCCCUCUGCAAAUAACAAAUUAAUCAAGAGACCCGCAAAUUUUCGUCCUUAUAUAGUUUGGAUUUAAUUAGAAUAUGAUAUGAUGUGACACUAGAUUAUAUAGUGUGGCUCAAAUAGCCCGAUUGAGCCCAAAUUUGUACUUAUUUUUAAUAUUCUACAUUUUGAAAUUACUGUUGGGAGCCCAUGCUCUAAAAAAGUUUUCGAACAUGCAAUUGCUAUGAUGAGAAACCUAUCAAUGUUUGAAGAACAUAUCGGGACGGAGGUGUGCCCGAAGAUCUAUGAGAUCAUCGAUCCACUCUAUUUGCUCGAUCAAAAUAGGUGAUUCAUCAUCAUCCGAGAAAUAAGGCCACAAUUCACAAGAGGAUUAGUGAAUGACAACACGGGGAGAUUCAAGACGUCCGAGAUUGAGGUCUAGGAAAAAAGACACAAAAAAAAACCUAGCCAUGAAAGCAACAUGGUAGUUUUGCCAUCAUCAAAAACUACCAAUAAAGAUAAUUUUUUUUAUAGUUGUAUAUAAGUCAAAUCAAUCACCAAUACAUUUUUUUUAUCAACGAUCAUUCAUGAGGAGUGAAUUAUGUAGUUAUCUUGAUCGUGACAUCCCCCAGGGCUGGCUUCCUUCUACAGGGGACCGAGAUAGGGCUGGAUCCCAAUUAACAUCCCGCGGUGGAAGUUUCCAUAAAACGAUAUCUGAGUAACAGCGCUGUCGUAAAUCACUCACGCAGCAGUCUAUUGCAGGGGGAAAGGGCAAAAUCCCGACAAUCACUGAUACAUGCACUCCGCGGCCUAAUGGUAUUCUAUAAAUAGUUUACGAACAUUUAAGAGAGCAUCUCAAAUACUACUAUUGAUUCAUCCAAAUAUUUUUCCUAAGUCAUUGUUAACAGGUCAUUAAAUAUACUAAUAGUCGUGUGAUAUUUGUUUACUAUUUUUGAGUCCAUCAAUAUAUCCACAUAUUUUUUCUUUUCGGUUUCUAGCAAGUAAGAAAGAUUGUUUAGAACUUUUUUUAUGAAGGUUAGAAAGAAAGAUUUUCUAGAACUUUUAUUUUUUAUACAUAUUAUUCAACUUGCUUUCUGAAAGAAUUAGACGUCAAUUUCCCGAGGCUUGGUACGGUUGAUAAUACUUGGAGUGACUACUUAAUUACUAGGGACCUUGGUGUGAGAUGUCGUGCUGCACCUCCUCCUCGUAUGAUUGAGGUUCAUUGGUGGCCUCCUGUUUCUCAUUGGAUUAAAGUGAAUACGGAUGGCUCGGCGGAUGGGGCGCCAGGAAAUAUUGCUGCAGGUGGGGUUUUUCGGGACAAUUGGGCUGGUAUUCAUGGUUGUUUUCAUAUUAAGGGAGGGAUUGGCUAUGCUUUUGAAGCUGAGCUCUUGGCUAUUAUUACUGCAAUCAACAUUGCUCAUUGUGACGCCCCAAUUUUCUUUAAAAUAAUAAAAUGCAUUUUGAAAAAAAAAUAAGAUUUCAAUACUUAAAUAACUAAAACUCAAAUCCAACUGAGAAAAGUAAAUAAACAUCAUAAACUGAGUUUUUAUUCCAAUUGAAAAUAAAACAUUAUUUCUUCUUUAUCUUGACCAUCACUCGCCCCGCCUCUCAUCGCCCGAGUCAUCUCCUGAAAAAGAUAUUGUUUUGGGGUGAGUACAAUAAACUCAGUGGGGUGCAUUUAUCCAUAUUAUAAGAAUCACAACAAAAUAUAAGUGCAAUAAAAACUGUCUGCUCUUUCAUAUUGCCCGAAAGCAAUAACUUUCUGUCUCUUAGCCCGAAGGCUAUAUAACUUUCUGUCUCAUAUAGCCCGUAGGCUAUAACUUUCUGUCUCAUAUAGCCCGUAGGCUAUAACUUUCUGUCUCAUAGCCCGUAGGCUCUGCCUGCUUCUCACACAUAUAAAUUGAGUAAAACGUAUAAUAAGGAUAAAUGUUAAAUGCAACGUUAUAACCCCACCUUAACCUUUCUUGUGUAAAAACUCGCAAUUAAUAAUCAAGUCUCGCGCGCCGUUCCUAAAAUGAAUUAUGAAAAAUGUAAUUAAGAUACAUUUAAAUCAAUAAAUGCACAUGAAUAUGAAUAUUUAUGAAAUCCCUUUUCUACUAAUAUUUAAGAAAAAUGCUUACUAAUAUAAGUUAUAAAACGAUACAUCAAAAUACACUAGAUAAAGUAUAAAGUGUUGUUCUAAUAUCAUCUUAUUCACAUAUUGAUAACAGAAGACUCAACAUAAAAGGAAAUAUUAAUAUAACUUUUUUUUUUAAUACUAAACCAUACUCAUAGAAUUCACUUCAUAUAUUUGCAUAAUUCCUAAAUGUAUUUACGUAUAUGUACGGAAAAAAGUAAUGAUCCCUCAACUUUUCAAAACAAAAUCAUUCUCAUAACCAAUAUAUAUAUAUAUAUAUAUAUAUCUAUAUGUACACGUAAUAUAUAUAUGCCAAGCAUAACUGUAAUGAAUCACCCUUAACCAAACAAAUUUACCUACAAUAAAGUAUUAAAUAUAAUAUAUAUAUAUAUAUAUUAAAAAUAAAGUAGAACAAGCAUUGAGACACUGCACCACACACGCAUACCUAUGUACUGACAAAAAGAAAGGCUUUUGAACAAAACUUUAAAAAGACAAGACUUAAAGUUAAAAAGAUAGAGCUGCUUUCUUUGUCAACGGGAACUCACGGAAGAAAAAAUACAGAACAAGCUACAAAGCAGAUGAAAAUGGAGGAGAAAAGGGAGCGUAAAAUACCUCGCCCAGAAGAAAAUAGAGCUCGGUAAUUUGAGUGUGGAAAAGAGGUGAUAAGGGACUGCUAUUUAUACUAGAAGUUGAGAGCUUAUUUUUGGCAGAAGAAUCAAUCAAGAAAAAUCUUCCCAUAAUUGUGGUUCAGUCAAAAGGAAAGGUAAAUUAGGGCAUGAGUCAUUGCAGCUACAGCAAGAACGUGAAUGAAGGAAUGGUGUGAAACCCUUACUAUUUUUCUUUGGGCUCAAGGAAUGGGCUUUAGAAAGUAUUGGGCUGCAUAAAAAAAAAAUGAAAUUGUUUGGGCUUAAAAUAUGUAGUAACUUAUAAUAAUAAUAAUAAUAAUAAUAAUAAUAAUAAUAAAUGCUUGAAGUGAUUAAAUGCUCAUGCUCAUGCAAUAUCUAGGCGCGACUUAUAAGACUUAAAAUUUAAUUAUUGAAAAUAAUUAAAAAAUUCAAUAUUUGAAGUUUUUUUUUAAAAAAAUAUUUUGGGUCACUACACUUCUCUAGAACGCAACAUGUAAAUCAUGCUCGCAGAAUUCUAAAACAUAUUUAGGAAAAUGAUAAACCUACUAUCAUGCUUGUCUAAGCGCAGUUAAUAAACAAAUAUUAACAAGCAAAGACGUGCAAAAGCAGGUAAAGAGCAUAAGGGAUUAACAACCACGACAUGCAAAGAACAGUAAUAAAAGAAUUAAAAUUCUUCGUGACCCAUUCGUGGAAACCCAACAUCUAUUCUAUUACAAAAUAAAAUAGAAAAAGAACAGGCCCAAAACAGAAUAAAAAACUCGGCCCGAACACAUGGGCCCGUCAAGCUAGGGUUUGGGCCCCCUAGGGUUUGAAACGCAGCUAGGGUUUGAGAAACCCUAGCCGCCGCCGCCGCCUUCCAUCACAGCCGCCGCACAGCGCCGCCCGGCAGCACGCGGCGACCCGGCGCUGGCAGCAGCCCCUUCCAGCAACCUCCAGCAGCAGCAGCUCCUUGGCGAACUCGGCGGUAGCAGCAGCACCCGACGGCAACAGCAACGGCAGCAGCGGCAGUGCGCCGCCCGCCGGGCGCGCAGCGCGCAGAGCGCGCAGGCGCGGCCCCGGGCGCGCACCGCCCCUGCCGGUGGCUUCCAGCCCUCGCCCAGCACCUGCCCACCUCGCCUUCAGCGUCCAGACUGACCAGAGAACAGCAGCGGCCGCGCGGUCGCCGAUCUGGGCGCGCUGCGCACGGUGUGCACGCACCCGCGCGCGCGUUGCCCCUCGGCGCCCGCAGCCCCUCGCUCCCGGUCACGAACGCCUCGCCUCGCCACGCCUCGCCACGGACCAGCAACCUCGGUGACAGCAGCACGCAGCAGCGCAGCCGCCUGACCAGGCACGCGCAGCGCACGGUGCCGAAGCGCCCGUGCGCGCGCGGCCCUCGGCGCCGCGGCUGCCCGUGCCACACCGUGUCCGUGGCAACCUCCUCACACUUUCCUCGUCGUUGAUUCGUCGUCAUCCUCGUUUCGUUCCUCAGUUUUACAGAUUUACAACGGAAAAACAAAUACAAUUGAAAACCUAAUCUAACCACGGAUUUUCUCGUGGUGAAAAACGAUUACAACGUCCAAUGACGUAUUCCACGAAUCAACGAAUCACGAAGAACAACAGCAGUUAAAAACAACGCACAUUAUUAAUCGUACAUAAAUUAAUAAUAGAGCCAAGAAAUUAAUCAUGGGCUCUGAUACCAAUUGAAGGAAUAUUAAAUUGAAUUAAUACUCGAUUGCCCGAUGAUCGUUUCUUGGAUUAUUAUUAAUUCAUCAUACAACGAUUAAAUCCUAACAUGCUCCUAUGAAAUUAACAACUGCACGUUGGAGUUAGAAAAUACCUGAAGAAUUCCUAAGAAUUCGUCAAUCUGUCGCUGAACAGGUCAGUCAGCUUCAAGCCUUCGUUUGAAGCCUCAAACGUCAUCAAAUCGUAUUUCGCCCAGAAGUACGACUUCUUCAUCUUCGAGAGAGCUUUCCGUGGCCGCCUGAUUCGUCUGAAUCGGAGUUCUGUGGAGGAAGUUAUGGCCGUUUUAUGGAGACUGCCAGAACUUGGUUUCCUGCGAAAAUCUGACUCCAGCUCUGAUCUUCUCGACUGUAUCCCGCUCAAUUCCCAACGUUUGAUGGAAAACGAGCUAUGGAAAUUCCCAAGACAGAAAUCACCUCACGUUUUACUGCGCCUCUCUCUGCUCUCAAAACCCUAAUUUUAUCAGUGUAUUUUCCUGAGAGCUGACAGCUGUAUUUAAUAAUACAGAAAAGAGGAGGAGGCGCCAAUCUCUAUGUGUCACAGCCCACUUAUCCCAAGGACGGUUUAAAUGGGUUUAUGACUUGGGGUAAAUAUAAGGAGCGAAAAUUAAAGGAAUUAGACACGAAAUCCAAAGAGAUAAUAUUUAAUCAACAACUAGUAAUAUAUAUAUAUAUAAUAUUUUAUAUUAAACAUUUGCCAUAACGACUAGACCAAGUGAAAGUUAACAAAGAAAGAGUAAUAAGUUUCAAAUAGAUAACAAUUCAGAGUGUUUGCAGCGGAAAAACGUGUGAGUUAUGCAUAUGGAGAUGCAUACUCAAGGUUUCAUUACAUAUCCAUCAAAAUUCCGCUCAACACCACCAUUCCAUCGCCUGCUCAACCUGCACAUUUAGAAAUACAUGCAGGGCUGAGUAUAAAAAUACUCAGUGAGCAUAAGCCGAAAAUACAACAUGCAUACAAAUAUAAAUUGAACUGCCAACAGUAACACACAGGGGUUUUCUUGAAUGACCUGCGCUUACUUAAAACAUUUCUUUCAUUUUCAUAAAGGUGGAUGCAUCCCAUUUCAGUCUAUAUGAUCCAUAUCUGUCCUUUCUGUCACGCGCCGGGAAGGAGGCCUCCUUACCACGGACGCCAAGACCGGUCGCAAGCGACUCGCGGUCUCCAUGAGUGUACACGUUAACCCUAGCUAGCGACCUUUGUCUAGCAUAGGAUCCCAAUUGGAUUUCCUUUAAAGUUGGCGAACCAACACAGAUAGGAUACAUAUAAAAACAUAAACAUUUUGGCAGUCAAUCAUUUCAUAAACAUUUCAUUUCAUUUCAUAAACAUUUCAUUUUCAUUUCAAAGAGCAUUACAUUAGCAUUUAUAAAAACUGAAAUACAGUUAAAAUCAUAUCAUGCAAUAUAUUCUAUAGAGGCCUACGUCACGCAGGGGAUCUCUAUAUACGUAUAGUAAAAGUAAUGCCCACCUUAAACGUUCUUAAAGUGGCUGGAGUCGCUUCCUCUUCGCUUCACUUUCUGUCGCCCGGACCUUCAUUGAUGAAGAGUCGAUAAGUUCGUGAAGAAAUUGUCAUAAGACAAAGUCUAAUUCUACGUGCCUAGGGUAUCUUUUAAGGUUUUAGGGUUCUAGCAUCCAUAAUCCGUUCCAUUAAGACAAUCGAAAACCAACAUAACCUUGACUAGUCAUGACCUCACGUAAAUCACAUAACAACAAGAUAAAAGAAAUUAAUAUCCUUAAACUUAAUUCAUUUAGAAAUUCACAGCUCACAUAAGAGAAACUUCAUUAUUCAUUACAUAAAAAUUAAAUCAAGAGAUUUUAAUUCACUAAAAUAAUUUAGUGAAAUUUCAAACUUUUUUUUUUAAAGUAAAUAAGGCCAAUAUUUUCGUAGGCUUUAUUAACUUAAACCCAAAAUUAAUUAAAAUGGGCCCAAUCAAUUAAAUAAACACCCAUCAGAUUUAAAGGCAAAAUGGGCCCAACAAAUUUAAAAUAAAGUGUCCAGCAUUUAAAAUUCGGCCUACUGAUUUAAUGCAAAAUUCGGCCCAAACAAUUUAAAUAAAACGGCCCAUUCCUUCUCUUUCUUUAAAAUUUUCGGCCCAGCCAUUAGAGGCUUAAGACCCAAUUAAAAAAAAAACCUAAAAUACUAUCAUAUAACACACACACAACACACCAACACACACAUAAGCUCUUUCUCUCUCUCUACCUCUCGGCUCUCUCUCUCCCGACUCUCUCUCUCUGCUCGGUCGAGUGCGGCGCCGCCUCCGGCGCGCCACCUCGCCGAGCACCUCCCUUCCCCCUCUCAUCUCUCUGACCUCCUCCGUCUCCUCCCUCUCUCUCUGUUCUCUCCCCCCCCCUCGCCGGAAUCGAUGCAUGCGCCGCUUUGAUGACCGCCGUCGCCGCCUCGCCGUGAAGGAGCUCGGCCGCCGUUCGUCGCCGGAGAAGAUAAGUUCUCCCUCCUAUCUCUCUCUCUCCCUCCCCUGUUCUACCUUCUCUUCUUUUUUUUUUUUAUAGCAGCCCUAACCAUCUCUCCUCUACCCUCUUCUCUCUCGUUUCAGACAGACAAGGAAAAAGGCGGCGCUGCCGCCGCGCGCCUUCGGCCGUGAGCAGCCGCCGGCUGCUCUCACUCCUCCCUCCGUCCUCGGUCACACACACACAGAGACACAAAAGCCCAAGUUUCAGUCCAAAAUUUCAAAGUAGCAAAGUCAGGGUUUCUAUUUCAGUUCUUGUCUUUCCAUUUUUUUUUACAACAAACAUAGAUCUGUAAUUUCAUUAAUAAUAACAAUACAUGUAUGUGUUUGUGGGUGUGCUCUGUUGUGGAUUUUAUGGCAGAAAUAAGGAUGAAAUAGUCACAGAUGUAGAAGUUAUCAGUUUAGGGGAAACCUUGUGAAAAGGGGACGAAGAUUGUUCUGCAAAAGCAUUUGCACAAAUGUGAGACUGAGAUUUACAAUCUCGAAUAAUGAAAGGUUGGAUCAGAAAGUUGUCUUACCUGCACACUCGAUCGAAGAAGGCUUUUGAGGUUGAGUUUUCAGUAAAUGAGUGGCAAUUAUAUAUAGGAAAGAGUGGCUACGCGGAGGAGCCUCAUUCAUAAAAAUUUAUAUUAGAAAAAAAAAUCAAGGAAUCUGAUUAUUGUAGCUUGCUUGGAGAGGAGGAAAUUAUGAAAUGGGCCAAUGGCUGUUGGAUUUUUAACGGGUUGGGCUUUUAAAUGGAUGCAUGUCAGAAAUUUAAAAUGGAUUAAUAAUACUCAUGAUCUUAAUAAAUAAAUAAAAAGAUCCUUAAAUAAAAUCAUUGAAAUAAAAUCUUGGUAAAACAAAACUUAUCCCAUUUAAAGGGAAUUUCAUGACUUCAUGUCCACUUUAAAAAAAAUCCAUGUGGCUCAUAUAAAUAUGCUCAAACCACUAAUUAAACUUGUGCACCAUAAUUAUAAAAAUCCUUUAAAUCACAAACGGAUUCAAAUAAUUAAGCACAUCAAAACACAUAUAUAACAAUUAAAUCACAUCAGAAAAAUAAAACCAGUUUUAUUAUUAAUAGAUGUGAACCCUAAUUAUUAAAAUUAAGCCAUCUUAAAUCGAUAAACCGGGAAUACACAUGGAUCGAACUGUCUUCUGCUAGGCAACUCAACCAAGAAAAUCAAGGUUGAGAAUGGCAUUAAAAUAUUCACCAGACCUAUUUUAAAAUACAGUUCAUUCCACAAAACCGAUACUACUACCCUUUAUUGCGAAGUGGCUUGAUAGACAUAAAUCUCGAUAAAAUAUCCACACCAAAUAAUAAGCUACACUAAAUAAAAUCUAAAAUCUUAAGCAGUACCACUAAAUAUAUACGCCUGAAUAAUCAACCUGCAGGUUAGCGUAAAAACCAUAGCUCAAGAUGUCAUAUCCUAUACAUACGGGUACAAUACAGAUAAUCAAAUAUCAUAUAUUAACCGCUAUCACCCAAGAUACAGAGUACUCGAGUUAGUAUAUAACUUUCACCCAUAGUAAGUCAAAGUGAUAUACGAAUUAAUAUAUAUAUCUGAAUACUUAUUAGUAUUAAGAUUUAUAAGUCACCGAGAUCUGAUUCUUCACUUAAGUCAGAUAGAAGAAUACAUCUCAAACUGUGGUCCUAUCAAUACGUAAUGACGUACAGUAUAGACAAGUAGCCAAGACAAACUACUUCCAUCUAUACUGCAGCCUAAACCAAUAACUUGUCCUAUAGUUAUUUCGGCUGUGAUCAUAUUAUAUCUCUUAAGGUUAUUCCAAUUAUAUGGUCUUCUGUGAUCUACAACUAGUGCUGCCGCCGGUUCAGGAACCACCGGUUCCGGGCCCGAACCGGCGGUUCAGGGUCCGGAAUCCGGCGAACCUGAACCGGCCCGGAUGAUAUUAUAAGGGCCGGUUUUCUGACCCUGAACCGGCGGUUCCGGUCCGGGCGAGAACCGGCGGUUCAAGGGCCGAAAACCGGCGAUUCCGGGCUUUUUCGUCUUUUUUUUUUAAUUAUUUUUGUAUUCUUUUUUAUGUAAAUUAAAUGAUUUGUGAUGAAAUUUCGAAAUUCUAAUUCAACUUAAAUCUUAAAAUAUAUAAUAUAAAUGACUUGUGUAGAAAAUUUAAUGAUUGUGAUGAAAUUAAAUGAUUUAUGUCAUAUUUUUUUUUCUUUUAUGCAAUUAAAUAUUUAUGUCAUAUUUUAAAAUUAAAUGACUUGUGUUGAAAAUUUAUAUUUUAUGAAAUUAAAUGAUUGUGAAUUUGUGAGAAAUUUCUAAAUUUUAAUUCAACUUUAAAUAAAAUAUAAACAUGUGUUGAAAUCGAAAAUAUAAACAUGUAAUAGUUUUUAUGUCAUAUUUUUAAAUUAAAUGACUUGUGUUGAAAAUGUAUAUUUUAUGAAAUUAAAUGAUUUGUGAUGAAAUUUCCAAAUUUUAAUUCAACUUACAAUAUAAAAUAUAAACAUGUGUUGAAAUCGAAAAUAUAAACAUGUAUAUCUUUUAUGUCAUAUUUUUAAAUUAAAUGACUUGUUGAAAAUUUAUAUUUUAUAAACAUGACAAUUAAUAUAUUUUUUACAUAAUAUUUUGUUAUGUCAUCUUAAUUCUUUAGUAAUGUCAUCUUAAUUCUUUAGUAAUGCUUGUUCUUUUUUUUAUUAUUAUUAUUAAAUGACUUGUGUUGAAAAUUGAAAAUUGAAAAUUGAAAUACAAUAAAAGUACAAUAAUUCUAACACAUUGAGUCAUUGACAAUCAAAAUAAUGCAUAAAACUUGAAUUUAUUCUAUUAUACAAAAAAUAUUAUAAGGAUACAAAUUACAAUCUUAAAAUUGAAUAAGUAAACAAACUAACACUAACUAAAUAACUAAUUCAUUACAAGUUUACAAUAAAUUCCGAAAGAGAGUUGUCUAACAGGGGGGAAAAAAAAAUUAAAAAAAUUAAGGGCUUGACUCAAUUUUAAUAUAAAUAUUAAAAUUGAGUGGCCUACGUAUCUUCAUUGAAUAAUGAAGAAUCAAAGCCCACGUAGUUCUUUUACCUUAACUUACCUAAUCGUAGUCCUCGCCGGGCUCGGAUCGUUCGGACUCGGUGAAUUCAUCGUUUGGGCUCUCGUCGGCUUGAUCCCAUUCAUUCUCUUGUUGUCGCAACUCGGCUUUGGACCAAUCAUCAAGCAACAUGGUGGCCUCCAUGUUUCGAGGAUCCAUGGUGCUUCUUCUUUCGUCCAAGACAAGCCCCACCAACGCUAAAUGACUUGCUCGACGGAGACCGUGGAGGCCGGGACCGCGAAUAACUCCUUGGCCAUGGUGGCGAGUAUGGGAUAUUCCCUCUCGUGCGUGGACCACCAUCUCAAGACGUCAAAUUGUAUACCACCUACAUUUUUGAAAGCAAAUGUACUAGACAAAUAUAUAUCUAACUCGUUAGUAGUAUAGCUCAUUUGUGUAUUCAUAAAUGAAUAAGCGGCUUGAGCCCAUUCGUUUUGAUCAAAACUACUUCCUAAGGUGGAGGAGCCAUAUUGACCUUGUGAACUAGUAGUGCCACUUGAAGAGUAUGCGGGGUUUGCAAGCAUAUAUUUUUGUUCAUAGUCAUUAAACAAAGCUCUAAGUGUGUUAUCUAUUCUAUGUUUAAUAUCAUCUAAGUUCGGAAGGUACCAUUCUAGCAUUUCAUUAUUUCUUAAUCUUGACUCAUAAAUAUCUCUAAAGGUACCAUAAUAAAUUUCUAACAGACGAUAAACACCGCUAAUUUUCAUUGUAGGAUCUAAAAUCUUAGCAAUUAAAAAAACAUCGGGAAUUUCAAGAAAAUAUUUAAGCCACUUAAUGAUCAUUUGAUAUGAUACGUCCUUCAAAUCGUUUUUUUAUAACAAUUAUUUAAAGCAAUACCAAUGAACAUGCAAUGUUCUAAAACUUUAAUACUAGUAUAAUAAUAAACACCGGAUAAAUCCGUAGUAGCAUUUUGAAAAACCUUUAAAAGUUGAAAUAAACUACCACAUUGUUUCCAAUAAGAGGGCAAUAAAAGCAAGUUAGCCUCGGGAGUUGAUCUAAAAAAAUCAUAUAAAUGCUCAAUAUGUUCCAUGGUAGAUGCAAGCAUGCUAAAUGUUGAAUUCCAACGUGUAGAAACAUCUUUAACAAAAUUCGUAUAUCGAAUUUUUUUUGUGACGACAAUAUUUUUGCCAUUUUUUGCCAAUAGCGGUUUUUCUAUGCAACAUAUUAACGGUUUGUCUAAUGGGAUCAACAGCAUUAUUAAUAAGAGAAUAAGCAUCUUGUACACAUCUAUUUAAAAUAUGACAACUACAACGAGCAUGAAAAUACCUACCUUCAAAAGAGGGUGCGCACGCGGCAACUAACUCAAGAAUGGAGGCGGUGUUGGUGGAUGCAUUAUCAAAUCCCACAGAAAAUAUCUUGUUUAACAUGCGAUACUCAUUUAAAACAGAAAUAAUCAAUUGAGCAAUAUUAGUAGCAUUAUGUAUUUCAUUAAAAUCUCUAAAUGCAAUUAAACGUUUUUGAAUUAACCAACAUUCGUCAACUCAAUGACAAGUAAUACCCAUAUAAGAAUAUCUUUGGAAAGAAUCAUUCCAUAUGUCGGAACAUAUAGAAAAAUUUUGAUUUAAAUUCUUAAAAUAUUUUCGUAAAUCACGUUUUCUUUCUUCGACUUGUCGCCGAAUAUUUUUGCACAUAGAAGUUCGACCAAUUUUUUUGGCGGCCGGAUUAUAAGCAUUUUUCAUAGUAUGUUCAAAAGUAUAUUUAUCGGCAUGUCUAAAAGGCAAAUGCUCCAUUGAAACAUAACGAGCCAUGCAAUCUCGAGCAUUUUGUGGAUCAAAUUUCCAUAAAACAUUACCUUGGCGUUGGAAAUCUUCGGGAUGUAGUUGAGUUUGAGUUGUAUGGAUUCCAUACUCGACAGUGUGCUUACUCUCCAUGUGCCCUUGUGAGGGUGCCAUAACCCCCCUCCCGCUUUCCAUUGAUAAGUAGCGUUGCAAUAGUUGCAAUAGGCAAUGAUCCUCUUGGGAGCAUUUGGACCAUCAUUUGGAUUUUUAGGAGUGGGUUCCCUCCUAAAAUGUUUAGUGAAAAUGUUAGAAGAAAGUAAUUUACUCUUACCCUUACCCUUACCUCUAGUGGGAGGGAUUUCCUCCUCAACGUUGUGACGUGCUUGCUCGGCUUCCUCCUCCGCCUCUUCGUUAUGCAAAGUACGUGCAUAUUCUUCAUCCUCCGCUUCUUGAAGUUGUCUAGCAUAUGCUUCACCCGCCAAAUCGGCAGCUUCCCGGCGUGCGCCGAAAGGUCCUCGUUCAACUGGCAUUUUCACCCUUCUCCUAGAGGAUGAUGAUGGAACUUGAACAUUUUAAGUAAACUCGUGAGAAGUGGGAGUGCUAUCAAUAUCUUCUUCGGGGUCGACAUUGAUAGACUUGCCACGGUUACCACGAUCAUGAGACAUGAUAACAAAUAAACAAGUAGAGAAGAUAAUAUAGAUAAUAGAGGUUAGAGAAUAAUAAGCAAGAACAAUAAAGAAAAUGAGCAAGUGAGUGUAGUGAUAGUGUAAUUGAAAUAUAUAGUAUAGUAUAGUAUUUAGUACUUAGUAGUAGUACUAGUAGUAAUAUAAUGUAAAGCAAGAACAAUACAGUAAAUGAGCAAGUGAGUGUAGUGAUAGUGUAAGUUGAAAUUAUAAUAGUAUAGUAUUUAGUACUUAGUAGUAGUACUAGUAGUAGUAUAAUGUAAAGCAAGAACAAUAAAUUAAGGAGCAAGUGAGUGUAGUGAUAGUGUAAUUGAAAUAUAUAGUAUAGUAUAGUAUUUAGUACUUAAUAGUAGUACUAGUAGUAAUAGUAAUAUAAUGUAAAGCAAGAACAAUAAAGUAAAGCAAUUGAAUAAGCAAGAGAAUAGCUANNNNNNNNNNNNNNNNNNNNNNNNNNNNNNNNNNNNNNNNNNNNNNNNNNNNNNNNNNNNNNNNNNNNNNNNNNNNNNNNNNNNNNNNNNNNNNNNNNNNNNNNNNNNNNNNNNNNNNNNNNNNNNNNNNNNNNNNNNNNNNNNNNNNNNNNNNNNNNNNNNNNNNNNNNNNNNNNNNNNNNNNNNNNNNNNNNNNNNNNNNNNNNNNNNNNNNNNNNNNNNNNNNNNNNNNNNNNNNNNNNNNNNNNNNNNNNNNNNNNNNNNNNNNNNNNNNNNNNNNNNNNNNNNNNNNNNNNNNNNNNNNNNNNNNNNNNNNNNNNNNNNNNNNNNNNNNNNNNNNNNNNNNNNNNNNNNNNNNNNNNNNNNNNNNNNNNNNNNNNNNNNNNNNNNNNNNNNNNNNNNNNNNNNNNNNNNNNNNNNNNNNNNNNNNNNNNNNNNNNNNNNNNNNNNNNNNNNNNNNNNNNNNNNNNNNNNNNNNNNNNNNNNNNNNNNNNNNNNNNNNNNNNNNNNNNNNNNNNNNNNNNNNNNNNNNNNNNNNNNNNNNNNNNNNNUCUUCGUCGCAUCUAAGUCCCGUUAGGGGUGCUUGUGAUUGUUGUUGUUCCGUGCCCGUCUUGGCCUGCUUCAUGGCUGCUUGGGUUCUUUGGUCUUUGUCUUUUGUUUGUUUGAGCCGGAUUUACUUGGGAACGAUGGUGAGGCCGGAGUUCCUGAAGUGUUUCCUUCCGCUCGUUUGCUUUUUUGUUCUGCUCUUGUCAAGUACACUCGUCCCAUAGUUGGCGUCUCUGUGCCUUCAUGGGUUUGUUCUUCCUUUGUUUUCUCUUUUAUAAAAUGCCGCUUUUAAUAAUAAUAAAAAAAAUUAAUAGCAAAUGCAUGCAUUUACGCGUGUAGAUAGACAUGCAAGUAAAGAGUUGGUAAAUACGCCAAUUAGAAUUAAUAAAAAAGUGAUCAAAGAGUAGUAUAUAUACUCAUCUUCUUGUUUCAAUCUUUCCAAUUAUAAACAUUUUUUAAAAUUGAAUUCAUCAUUUGAUACAGCAGACUCAGCGAGUGAGAGAUGGGGUUUUUGUCACAUAAAGUAGAGAGACGCUACUUGCAAGCAGGCGAUCAUAUUUACACUUGGAGAACUGGCUUUGUUUACGCGCACCAUGGUAUGAUUCUCUGUUCCCUAUUGAUGCAUUUACGAGACGAAAUAGUAAUGUUAAUCCCUUGUUUACUUUGAUGCAUCGCAAUUUUAGGAUAUCCCAGAGUCUUUAAUUAUUUUUAUCAUUUAAGCUAGUUUUGCUUUAUUCUUAUCCAAUCCCAUUGAAAAUGUGAAAUCGGAGAAAUCCUACCUCAGUCAUGCAUCUUAUCUAAAAAAAGCACCCUUGGGUGAUGUUUUGGGAGAUAAUAUUUGUUUUGCCUAGCUAGCUUGUUCCUUGAUGUGGGUGAUGUUAAUUAGGGUUUUGUUGAUAUUAAUUGAGCCUUAAGAAUUAAGCUCGCGUUUGUUACCCCUCAAAAUAGAGGGGAAACAAAAGAAAGAGAAUUCCUUACUAAUGAUUCGUUAAUUUCCAUUGCUAAACCAAAAUACUCAAUAAAAGUAAUGGUAGUUAUUAAUUGUUACCAUUCCACUGCUUCAUUUGAUUCUAUUUCCUUUCAAUUCCUCUACUUGAACCUAGCUGCUUGUUCCUUAAUUAGGGUUUUGUUGAUAUUAACUGAAGCUUAAUUUCUGGCUCCGCCAUUGCACUCAGGUAUCUACAGGGGCGACGAGCAAGUGGUGCACUUCACUAGCGCAGCAUCAGCAUCUUCUGCUCCACUAAAAAGAAGAAGGGAAACUUGCUCAACUUGUGAGAAGUUUGAGCAUAGCGAUCGUGAAAGUGGUGUCAUCAUAUCUUGUCUCGAUUGCUUCCUUAAGAAAGGAGAAUUGUACCGUCACAAGUAUGGCGUUACGAAGGCAGCCCACCGGCUGAGCCGCCGUGGGACUUGCAAUACGGCAGAGUCCGGCACCGCCGAGGUGGUGAUGGCAAGGGCUGAAUUUGAGCUUGCAAAUGGAUUCGGGGAGUAUAAUUUGAUGGAUAAUAAUUGUGAAGAUUUCGCAACCUACUGCAAAACUGGCCAAAAAUGCAACCGUAACGGCACGGCGCAUCGUUACGGCCAAGCCUCCAUCAUCCCGCAACAGUGGCGGAGCCACGAGCUUAUAUUAGGAGGGGCUGAACUUUUACGGGGGUUCAAGGGCGGUAACCCCCAUUUUAUUGGGAAGGGUACACUACUAGAAAAACGCUCAUAGAUAACGGAUUAUUCGUAAAUAUUUUUACUUAAAAAAUAAAUAUAAUAAUAAUAAACAAUAUUUUCAUAAAUUAUUUUUACAAUAUUGGGGGUUGGGUUCACGCCGUGUUCAACGGUAAUUUAUGUAUGCAUGAUUAUUUCUUGGAUAGUUUGUAUUAAAUGAUUAUUAUUAAUUUUAUUAUACUGAUUGUUAUUUCCUUAAGAUGAAAUUGACUUCAAUUAUUUGAUUGACAAUCUACAAAUUUAAUUAUUAUUGAAGAAUGCUCAUUAAAUUUGAUCAUAUUGCACUCAUUAAGUUUAUACUAGUAAUGUUAUUAUACAUUAUUUUAAACCAAAUACUAAUAUUUAAAUAAGUAACCCUUACCUGCUUUAAACUUCUUAACACCUUAUUAAUUCNUGUUAUUAUACAUUAUUUUAAACCAAAUACUAAUAUUUAAAUAAGUAACCCUUACCUGCUUUAACUUCUUAACACCUUAUUAAUUCUUAAUUUGCGUGCUCAGAGCAAAUGUGACAAAAUAUAGACAAAUACUUUCGUUGAGGAAAUUAAGGCAGUAUUGGGGACUAAACUCUAGUUCCUCGCCUUUAAAAUAUACGACAUCGUAUAUACGAACAUUUAACGAGCUAGUUCGAGCUCAAGCUUGAAUUCUAUAUAUAUUAUCGAGCAUCACCCGAGUCGAGCUCGAAUUCUGUAAGUGGGUGACGAGCCGAGCUCGAUCAACAAGGUAAAAACUCGAAUCGAGCUCGAAUACCCGAAUAUUUAAACGAUCGAGCCGAGCUCGAGCUUCGGUUCGUUUGGUGCCCUAAUGUUAAGGAGGAGUAACACAACCUCUAAUUUUAGUAGCUGAGGUGUUUUCAAAAGGAGAUUUCCGGAAGGGGCUUCAGCCCCCUCUUAUGUUUGUUAAUGCAAUUAGAAUACAAUUAGUGUACUAUCUAAUAAAUUAAUAUAUACUUAUAAAUAUACAAUAUGUAAUAUACAAAAUCAACCUUAAAAUAAAAUACGCAGUAGGGAUAAAAUAGUCAAUCCAUGUUCCUUUUCCGCAAGAAAGGGUAUUUGAAAAUAUAAUCUUGUUCAUCAUAUACACUGGCAAAAAAAUGUCUAAUAAUAUAUGUCAGUUCAUUUGGUUCUUGAUCAUCUCUAUAAUCACACUUCAAUAUGUGGGAAUCAAGUAACGAAAUUCAAAAACAUAAGGCUGAAUUUCUAUCAGCUUCUGCGAUGGGGAUUGAUCAGUUUCUCCAUUUAGACAUUCCAUCAUCAAUCUUUUCAGAGAGCUCGUAAGAGGUAAUUGGCUGUAAAUCCAUUUAAAGCGACUCGAUGUCAUCGGCAAAUCUUUAUGUGUCGAUGCACGAGUUUUGGCACUGAAAUCUUCUUCUUGCUCGUAAUCCCUACUGAUGCUUCCAAAUACUCAACUUUGGCUUUCUCUAAUUCAUUCAUCACUUCAUCCGGCAUGUAAAACCUCAACUGCAAGCUUGAUUGUUUGUAAGACUGCUAAAACAUGGUGGAUAUAAAUUGUAUAGAUAUUGGCUAGUAAAAUCGCGAACUAUUUUGAAAUUGCAAUUUUAACGUAACUUUUGAAAAAGUGUCGAAUUAAAUCACCACGUUUUCACGUUUUGCAAAUUCCGCCCCCCCAACUUUUUUCGUCGCCGGAUCGUUGAGUUGAAGUUUACGUGGAUUUUAGGUGUCACGUAAUAUUCAUGUUACGACGUCGUUCGCAAUAAAAUUGCUUAAUAUUGGAAAAUUAGGAUGCAAAUACCAGAUGUAGUCCUUUAUAUAUAAUUAGGAAAAAUUUUAAUUAAGAUUAUACGAAAUGACGUCGUUUAGACCUCACAAAAACCAAGUCGUCUUUAAUAAUCCACGUAAGUAAGCUACAAUUCAGCACUCCGGCUACCACAAAACAUUGGGGGACGAAAUCGCAAAAAUUGAAAAGAUGGUGAUUUAAUUCGUCAGACCUUAAAAAUCACUUGAAAAUAUAGUUUCGAAAUAGUUCAUGAUUUUAUUUGCCAAAAACCCUAAAAUGUAAUGUUGGAAAUUGUACUUACUGCUGGAGACGACCAAUUGCCUCGACAGAGAGCAAAUAUGACAUUAGGUUCCGGAUAGUCAAGACCACAAGCUUGCCUUAGAAUUAUUUCCUUCUCAUCAGUUAAGUCCUGUAGUUCAAAUAGUGUCAUAUUAUUACUAUAAGAGUGCGUUUACUUUAAUCGUAAAAUUUUCAUCGAAAACUGAUGGAUAAAGAAAAACAUUAAAACUGAUAGAUAAAGAUAAUAUUAUCCAGCAUUGGAAAGAAAGUGAAUGAAAAAAUAAGCUGCUUGAAAAAAUAUUCCACCAUUUUCUAGAAAAAAAUUCAAUCAUAGCAAACAUGUGAAAGUGAUAAAAUAUAUAUAUAUAUUCUCUCAUUUUUCGUCAAAGUAAAUGCACCCUAAACUCACAUAUUUAGCUUCUGCUGGAUGCCUGAGGAUGCACUGCUCAAUUGUGGAAGCCUUGAAUAUGAAACCACCCACAUUAAUUUCAGCCUGGAUAAUAUAUGCAUUGUCAAUUUUAAUGAAGUUGCUUAAGCUUCAAUCCGUGCAAUACACGAGAAACGAUUUUUAUAUUUCUAUAUCUAUAUAAAGCCAGUAUCGUAUUGGUUUUAAAAAAAAAAAGCCAAUAUCAUAAAAAAAAAUUACCUCAUUCAUGAGUAAGAGUAGUUUUUCCUGUGUGGAAGGCAGCCCGUGUUGCAGAAAUGCCUGAAAUAUAUAUAUGGAGAAAAAAUUAUUAUGAUAAUGAUAAUGAUGAUAUUUGUAUUAAUUAAUUGUAAUUUAUUGGGCUAAAAACCACUUGAGAUUUCUUCAUUACAUUCAUUAUGGAGGCGUUGUAUAUGUUAAUCCAGAAUGCCAGCUUCUGCUUGUGGCUGAAGUGGUUUACUUUGACUUUAUUGAGCUUCUGCAUCAAAAUCCUACAAGAAACAAAGAGAACCACUCAAAAAUGGGUCAAUGGUGAUAUUCGAAUUCGAAAUUUUGAUAUUCGUAUUCAAAACUAUUUGGUUACAAAUAUUCGAUUCGAUUCGAUUAGUAUUCAAAAUUACAAAAAAAAGUUUCCACUAGUUACAUAAGGCUUGAUAGCUAUUAUGCGUAUCACAAAAAUUAGUGGUAUUUGAAAGAGUAACUAUUAGUGAUUAGCCACACCAUCAAAUGCCACUAAUUUUUAUGACACACAUAAUAGCUACCGAACAUUUAUUGAUGAUUUAAAUCAUCAAUUGAACAUUUAUUAUUGUGUGUUGAUUAAGUAAAUAUAUUGGAUACAAAGUAUAUAUAUUAUAUUGUUUGGAAUAUUAUUUUAUAUAUUUUUCUCUUCAGAAUUUCGAAUCAAAAAGCAUGAAAAUCGAACCGAAUAAUUCGACAAUGACAUCAAAUCGAAUAUCAGAACAUUUUCACGAAUACGAAUCGAAUAUUGGUGAUAUUCGCUUCGGUUUUCGAUUCAAUUCGAUUACAACCCUACUAAAAGCUGAAGGUACAUACCUCAGUCUCUGCACAUCCGGAAUACAUUCAGAGAAACGGCUCGUAUCCAAUGUACCUUUUGUUAUCUGUAUAAAAUUCUUGUACGGCCCUGUAUCUCUUAUGCCGGCACCAAGCUCUGGCAAUAUCUCAUAAGGAUCAAGAUGCGAUGCAUCGUCGUUGAACGGAAACACCGGCGUUUUGCAGCUGAAUGCGGCUUUCGACACCAGCCCUUUCGAGUUCAUACACGCCAUCGUCUGCUUCGAGAGGCUAGUCAGCCGCGUGCUCUUAAACGCGGUAUGGUGUAGUUUGAGAAAUAUGCCUAUCAAGCACUUGAUGAGAUCGACUGAGAGCUUAUUCGGAUUUGCCACUUCACUCUCUGCUGAAGAAGAGUUGGAUAGAAAGGUUGGAGUCUUGCUCGGGGCCACGGGAAACUCGUUUCCCGUGUUUUCCCGUGAAAGUUGCACUCUGGAGUUCCUUGGAGGAACCCAGAGAUGCUCUCCGGUCUCCCGGAAUUCUGUAUCUUCUGUUUUCGUAGUUUUGUGAUGUGGAGAGCGCGUCGCUCUCCUUGUGCUGUAUCUGGUUUGGCCGCCUAGACGGCAGCUUCCUUAGCUGCCGUUGCUCGAGUUUCGGCCGGAACUCUUUCAACUGCACCACCUCCAUUUCCUUUCUUUUCUGCUUCUCGUGGUGGAUGUCCAAUUUGAGUUCAUUGAUCUUUCUCUCCACCCAUUCUAUCUCUUCUUCCACCACUGCUAAAUCAGCCAGAAGCAUUUGAACCUGUGUUUUCGUUCAUUGUUCGCUUAGGAGGCGUUUACUUUGAGUGAUAAGAUUGAAUAGAUAAAUUUAACGGUGUGUUCUCUUUGUUGUAAAUUUAUCACGAGAAAUGAGGGGUACGAAAAGAUGGACAAAUUUAGCUCAAGUUCUUUCAGGUGAAAAACAUAGUUUAUCACAUCAAUGUUCCAAGGAAAAUAUUACUAUCACAUUAAUCCCCAUGAUAAUAUUAUCAUGAAUUGGAGUGAAAAGAAGGGAAAAGGGCCUGCCCGAAUUUUUUCUGUCUUGCCUGAUGAAAGUUAUCCUUCCUACAUAACAUGUGAAAAUGCUGGAAAAAUUGUGAAAAUAUAUGUUUUCCACCCUUUUUCAUCAAAGAGGAUUAUAUUUUGUGUUCUUGAUUUUUAGCAUUUUAAUUCUAAUUUUUUUUUUUUUUUACCAUUUUUCAGAAAUUGUCCCUGCAUUUUCUUAAAAAUGUCUAUUAUACAAACUCUUGUGAUAGAGUGAUACUGAUAAGUCAUAUUGUCAAAUUAUUAGGUGGAAAAAGGGAUCCACGUAAGAAUCUGGCGACGUGACUCAUUAUUCGAUCGCCUAAUUUUACAUAUUAAGACAUUUUCUAACAAACACUGAAAGUUGAGAGUUUUCUAUAGAAAAUGAAAGUUGGGGAACACACAAAUUUUAUUGACUCGUCUUGUAGAAUGUACUGUGAAUAGAACGCACGCGCACGCACGCAUACUUGAUGACUAAUAUAUCAAAUUCAAAAUACUCGCGACUUCUCAAGUUCUAGAAACUUUUUUAUAAAUAAAUAAAUUAACAAUUAAAUAAAAAAAAUUAAAAAUCACACCACAACGGACUCGAACUCAAAACUUUUUGGCCUUAGACAUUAACCACACACGCACGCUAAGUUCUAGAAACUUGUGAGUGUGCAUAGGUGCCACUAACACACAAAUUGUGUAUAAAAAUGCUGCACUUAACAAAAUCUAAAUUAUUGUGUAGACAUAUAUAUUACCUGGAAAGGAAGGAAAGGGGUGAGGGAUGAACAUGAGUCGCAGCAGCCACUUGGACCUUGCAUCGUGCAUUGCAAUACCCUCUUCAACUCAAGCUCCCCUUCCAACUCUUCCUCCAAUCUUUCAACCUGCAAUUAUUUGUGUUUCAUUUUCUUUGCAUCGGCAAAGUAACAUAAUCAAGAUUAAAAGAACUCGUCGACCCCAACGUGCGUGAGCAAUGGCGAAGCCAUGAAUUUUCAUUAGGGGAGUCGAAGUCAAUUUUUUUUUUUGGGGGGGGCAUUUCUUACAGUUCGCUUUUGUUUUUUUUUCUUAUUUAAAAGAAUAUAAUAAUAACGAACAACAGUUUCAUAAAUCAAAUAAUUUACAAAACGUCACAAACAACUUAAGAAUAAAUACUUGAUGAAUUAUUUUUUUUUGUUUCAUCAAAGUCAGAUGGGAUCCUUUGUUCCAGGAUAUAGUGUGUACUAUGUGUACCACUCUUCAUUUCUUCGUUUUAUAAAUUAUUUUUUAUAAAUAUAAAAAAUAUUAUUAUAUUAUAAACUCUAAUCAAUACUCCCUCCGUCCUACUCCAAUAGGCUCAUUUUCCUUUUUUUUAUAUAAAAGCACAAUAAAUUAAAAUUGGAAAAAAAAUAAUUAAAAAUAUACACUGUUGGUACACACUAUUUUUUGGUACAGAGGAUCCCAUUUGCAUCAAAGUUUGCUUUAACUCCUAUAUUCACCUUCACGAGAAAAGAAAAAAAAAAAAAAACCUUUCCAAUUUCUUAUAGAAAUAAAAUACUAACAAUUAUAGAAAUGACAUUAAUCCAUCCACAGGCUACAUUUUUUCCGAGUCAGCUACAUGAUGAGACUGAUACAAAUUGAGCAAAUGCACAAAUUGAAGACAAAUUAUUACUUCACAAAUUCACCACAAAUUACAUUCUGCCUCACAAAUUUCAUUUCAGAAUUUUCUUUUCUAGUAUAAUUUUCUUAAAAAAAAAUUGAGGAGGGGCUUUAGCCCCCCUUAGCCACCCCUUGGAUGAGAGAGAGAGAGAGAGAGAGGCCUGACCUGUUCUCGGAGGUNNNNNNNNNNNNNNNNNNNNNNNNNNNNNNNNNNNNNNNNNNNNNNNNNNNNNNNNNNNNNNNNNNNNNNNNNNNNNNNNNNNNNNNNNNNNNNNNNNNNNNNNNNNNNNNNNNNNNNNNNNNNNNNNNNNNNNNNNNNNNNNNNNNNNNNNNNNNNNNNNNNNNNNNNNNNNNNNNNNNNNNNNNNNNNNNNNNNNNNNNNNNNNNNNNNNNNNNNNNNNNNNNNNNNNNNNNNNNNNNNNNNNNNNNNNNNNNNNNNNNNNNNNNNNNNNNNNNNNNNNNNNNNNNNNNNNNNNNNNNNNNNNNNNNNNNNNNNNNNNNNNNNNNNNNNNNNNNNNNNNNNNNNNNNNNNNNNNNNNNNNNNNNNNNNNNNNNNNNNNNNNNNNNNNNNNNNNNNNNNNNNNNNNNNNNNNNNNNNNNNNNNNNNNNNGAAAAUCAGCCAUACUCAACCUAUGACACAUCAAAUGGAAACCUUCAUUUUUCCAUAAACAAAGGGAUGAUGAAUAGGAAUGCAAUUUCGACUUACGUGAGUCCUGAUGUGUCAUAAUUAUCCAUUCCCAAGCCCUUAAAAAUCUACAUAAACCAUAACAAAUUAGCAUCAAACAGAAAGCAAGAGAUUGUUUCCUUUUCACAAUGAAAUGAACAUCAAGAAGAAAAAGAAGAACCUCAGCCAUUCGAGAUUCCAUCUGUAUAGAGCGAGGCCCAAAUCGAUUCUUCUUCUACUGAGAUUAAAAAAUCAAGCUUUUUCGAAAUUGUAUGAUAAUUCCUAAUUUAUACACGUUUUAUGACAUGGGUUUUGUUUCAUUCGUUGAUUCAAACAGAAAAAUCAGAUAAAAAUCCAAGAAACUGUGUAAAAUUGGGAAGAGCGGAAAAGGGAUCGGGAGGGAUACUGUUAUGAAACGAGCUCAUGAGAAAUAUCGCUGAAAUUCCAGUUGAAGGUUGAGAAUAUAAGAGAGAGAGAGAGAGAAGCAAACCUGGAAAUCCGAAGCAGCUGAUUCUAGUCGACAUAAUGGGAACCAGCGCCUGCUCAAACCCAGCGAGCGCUGAACUUUCUCAACGGGUGCUGAGUUCUGGCGCUCGUUGGCUUCUUGCCCGCGGGCGCUGGAACUCAACGCUCGCUUAAAACUUCAUGGAUUUCAAUUCUCGUGGUUCUUGGCCGGAUUUCGUCGUGUGUAUUUUUUGGAUGAAAUCCAUGAAAGUCAUUCCGGAUUUUAAGUCAAUGGAAUAACGAAUACACCUAGAUUUGUAUGGAUUUUAAAAAGUCUGAAACGAAUACACCCUGAUUUAUAUGGACUUUUAAAAGUCUUGAACGAAUACACCCAGAUUUCUACAGACUUUUAAAAGUCUUGAACGAAUACACCCAGACUUUUAAAAUCCAUAGAAAUCCAUUAAAUUCCACAACGAAUACACCCCCAUAAAUAUGAAACAACAACCGAUUGCCACGAAAUCAGAUCCUAAUGUAUUCUACAUUAAAUGAGAUUUUCAAUGACAGGUAGCCCAUCGUCAUCGGACCACCGUUCAAAUCGGGAUCAAGUGUGAUAGUUGGCAUCGUCGCACUAACUUUUUGGCGCGAUUUCAACUACACUGGUGGUCCGAUGACGAUGUGGUACCUAUCGUUAAAAAUCUCUUUUCGUGUGGAAUACAUUAUAUUCUAAUUUUGUGACAAUUGAUCAUCAUUUUAACUGUAAUUACUAUAAAGAAUAGUUUACUGACAUAAUUUUAAUGUAAUUAUGACUAGAAUUAAAUUAUUUCUCAAAAUUCAGGCUAUACAGAAAAUAAAUUAAAGCUAAAGUUAUAAAUUGAAAUUUAUUGAAAGUUCAUGCUAUAAAUUAAAAUUAUCCCUUUACAAAAUUAGUGGAAUUGUCACGGAACAAUUAAUUAAAAAGAAAGUCCACCGAUAGAAAAAUAAUAAAAAUGGUUAGUUGCUUGGAUUUUCUUUCAAAAACAUAAUCAUCAAGCAUUAUCGUUUUGUGAGAGGAUGUGUAGCAGUAUCUUUGGGUUAUUUCUAAACAAUAAUUCAAAGUUUGACUUUUUUUUAAUUGGAAUUAUAAUUAUAAUUAACACGAAAGUAAUUAUAUAUACUCAAAAUCAAAAUUUUGGAAUAAAUUAAGUUGAUCAUCCAACUGAGUUUUAUACAUCUAUAUAUUUGACUAGCCGAGCUUUAAUCAUUCAACUUAAUUUUAAUAAAGUGAAUAACAUAAAUAAAUAUGAACUAUUUUUAUAAUAAUUAUAAGUUCAAACUAAAAAUUUGUAUGGUCAAAAUUUGGAAUAUUUUUUAAAAAUAACCAUUGUUUUAAUACUCCAUAAGACAAUUGUAGAAUUUGCAAAAUUUAAAUAAAUAUUAAAACUUCGCCGUCUGUGGGAAUCGAACCCACGACCACAUGGUUAAAAGCCAUGCGCUCUACCAGCUGAGCUAAGACGGCUUGUGUUUAUAAUUUUGUCGUUUAUUUAUGAUAUUUACUAUUAGAGAAUUGAUUUAAUAAUUUCCCCCAUUUCCCCGUGAUUCAUCAGUUUUCAGUCUUUUAAUGUGAUACAGGGAAUUAUCAAACAAAUUUGUGGUACAGGGAAUUAUUGAUAAACAUGUUAUAUUCACUCUGUCCCAUGAAGCAUGACGCAUUUCUUUUCGGCACGGGAAUUAAGAAAUUGGUAUUUUGUGUGUUAAGUAUGAUAGGUGAAACCGUGAAAAAAUGAAAAUGUGAAUAAAGGGUAAAUUUUUUGCCAUUUUUAGAAACGUGUCAUGCUUCGUGGGACAGCCCAAAAAGAAACUGUGUCAUGCUUCGUGGAACAGAGGGAGUAGUAAAUAAAGAAACUAAAAGAUCGUGAGAUGAAAGACUCAUGUUCCUUAAAAAUUUGCCUCAAUAGGAGCAGCACGAGUUUUAAUAAAAGCAAUUUUUUUGGGGUGAAGGGAGUAUAAUUUAAACUGGAUAUAUUCUAACUCAAUAAGUCAGUAUAUAGUAUUGCAUAAAAUACUCGUAAUGACUUAAUAACAUUAUUAAAUUAAUUGGUAAAAUUUUCGUUUCUUCAAGGAUUGGAAUCCAUGUAAAUUUCUACCCCCUCUAAAUAAAUAUCAAUCAUAUAUUUGAAAAUAUAAUAUUACAGAUUCAUUCCCAUUUCUCAUCAUAUUUGUCCAUUCUUAUUGGAUUUUCUCCCAAUUAAUAUAGAGGCAUUCUUGUGUGCACCAUGGAGCACGGUGCUCCCGGGUCGCACUGAGAGUAAAUCUGGACAUAUUUGGAUUCAAAUUGAUACUCCAGAUCCAUAAAUACAAAUGGAUACUCCAAAUUUACUCUCAACCCGGGAGCACCGUGCUCCAUGGUGCACACAAGAAUUUGUGAUUAAUAUAUAUACAUCAAAAAAAUGUUGCAUAUUAAUAUACGUAUUUAUAAUUGCAUAAGAUAAUACUACAAUAUCAAUACGGAGUAUAUGUAGGCGAACUUUAAAUCGAAAAAAGAAAAAAGAAUAAAUUAAAUUAAUGAAUUGAUUUUCGGAAAUUAAUCUACAAGAAUAUAAAAAAAUGUAUAUGGUGCACCUAGAAAAUCCACCCUCAAAAUACUACAAAUAUAUUUUCUUUCUCCACAAAGUAUUUUGGUUGGUCAGUCUCACCCUGCACAACAAAAAAUUAAUAAAGAAAAUCAAUUCAACAUAUUAAUUAUAAAAUAUAUUUGUAUAGCUAAAUGUAUGAUAGUAUAAUAUGUACACAGAAAUUAGUUUUUCUCCUGAAAAUAAACUUAAUUAAAUUCGGGCGAUACCUUUGCAGUAAAAGUAAUUGCAACUUGAAUUUCACCGUGGUAACUAAGAUCAUUGAGAAUAACCCUAAACUUUUGUGUGCCAAGAUCCGCUUUGCCCUUCUCUAAUCCUAUUUCAAUUAAAUCCUUCACAUGGAUCCUGCAUAUAAAUAUUAAUUUUAAAAAAAAAUUAGCCAAACCAUUUAAUUAAAGAAACAUGCUAAAAAUGAAGAAGUGGAGAUUCAUAUAUAUUACAUAUAAAUGUAAUGUGUCUUAAAUUAUAUUGAAUUUGUGAUGUAAUUUAUUAUAUAUAGAGCUCCCUGGACUAGAAUGUCUUCGACUAUGUAAGAUAUUAAUAAUAUAUUUGGUAGAAUGUAUUGAAAUACCAUGAUGUGUUAAAAUCAUAUAUUUCGUAUUAUUAUUUUCGCCGGAUAUAAUUAAUCAUUAUUAUAAAUAUGAUUUAUAUUACGUAUGAAAACCGUACAACAUAACUAGUUUCAUAUUAAUUUUAGGGUUAAUAGUAUUUUAUGUCCCGAACUUUCAGCGUUUUCCACAAAAUAUUCCGAACUUUAAUUUUCUCCUGAGAAACCCCGAACUUUCAAUUUUUUUCAUAAAAUGUCCUGCUGUACAAAAUUCGGUGACAAAAGGAUGAAUUAUCUCACCGAAAGAAAUAUUUUGAGGACCGUCAUUGUUGGAAAACCAUAAAAGUUUGGGGUUUUUUAUCAUCUUUUCAUCACCGAAUUUUGUACGGAAAAAACUGAAAGUUCAGAGUUUUUCAGAAAAGAAAAAAUGAAAGAUCGGAAUAUUUUAUGAAAAACGCUGAAAAUUCGGAACAUAAUUAAUCAUGACUCUCAAAGUCGAACCGCUCAAAAAAUUCAUGUCUAGGUAACGCAUACAAAACCUAAUUAAAGAUAGAGAAAUAAAUAAAAUAGUGAGAUUAAAAAUUUAAAUGAAAAUGAAAUAGAACUUACGUGGAAUGACCCAAAAAAUCAUCUUUUCUGCAGGUGUCACGGUUGAAAAUACGAAGAAAUAGUUUGUAAUUAUUUUGGUAAUCAUCUGAUCCAUCCAAAGCUGGGAAUUCCACUUUAAAUUUGAACUCUUCAUUCCACACCAGUCUCCUACCUUGCCCUGCAACAUUUCAAACACUUUAAUUUAAAUUUAUUUCUAUUACACAAGCAUAUAUUUGAAUUUAUAAAAUACUAAAUUUUGAUCAAAUUUUGAUUUUGUGCACAAAAAUUAAAAGUCCGUCAAACAAUUAUUAAACUUAAAAGUUUGUCCAGCCCAAUUUAAUGUAAAUUAACAUGGCCGUCUAAACUUUACACAUAUUCAAAUCGAUAUUAGUUAAUUAUGUGCAAUUUCAGUCCAAAACGACGACGUUUUAGUAAGUUGAGCUGAAAUCCAACAUAAUUAAUAAAAUCGGUAAAUUCUGUUGAUGAGCAAAAUUAAAAUUUGAGCAAAAUUCAAACGGCUUACAUCUAUUGUCAAUAAAAUAUUUUGAAAUGCAAACGCGUGAAAAUCUAGUCCAAAAAUUAAUGUCUGAAAAACUCGUUGAUAUAGGAGAAGUAGAGAAAUAUUUACUACAAGAAAUAAUUAAUAUGACGUAAAUUAAAAAAGAAAAUAACAAUAGACAACGAAGCGCAACUUAAUUGAUAAGACGGAGAAUCAUUGAUUCUCCUUUGAAAAAGAAAAUAUCAAUAUAAUUAAUUACCUUUAGCAGUAGUGCUCGUGUACUCUUCAUUUCUAUAUUGAAUCACAACAUAUGGGUCGAUCUUACCUGUACCAUGCAUUAAAAAAAAUGUAUAUAACUAAUUUAAGCUUUGAAAAAACAUGAAAUCAAUUAUGCAACACCAAUUCUAUCUAGCAAAAAUAGACAGUAUUAAGUUUAACACACUUCUAACCUGCAAUUAAGUGUGUCAAAUCAAUUCUUUCGCUCUUAGAAUUCACUGAUUUUCACGUAAAUUUUAUUAUAUUAAUUUUUUUUUAUCCAUCCAACUAUCAAGGAUGGAUAUUCUCUGCAUAUUUUAAUAAAAAUGGCGAAUAGUAUCCAAAGUUGUCUAUUAAGGGGCCGUUUGGUUUGAAGGAUUAGAUAGGAUUGAAUUAGAUUAAUCUUAUCAUAUUUUGUUCGGUUGGGUGGAUACGGGGCCCGUGAUUCAAUCUUGGGAGAGUGUCACAUAGGAUUAGUCUUAGGGCAUGUUUGAUACCUGUCUUGGGAUAAUACAGGAUAGAUAAAAUGUGAGAUAUGUAUCAUAUAUAAUGUGAGAUUAAUAAUAUAUCUCAAUGUUUGGUAGACCAAGAUUCAAACAUAGAUAUUAUGAAUUAGUUGUUUGGUAUCCUACACUAAAAUCUAGAUUAAAUAAGUAAAUUACAAUUAUAUCCUUUUACAAAUUUAAAUAUCUUUAUAAAUUUAAAUAAGUAAAAAUUGAAAACAUUUUAAAAAAAUUGGUCAACACCCACCACCCCUUCACCAUUUUCUCUCUCCACCCCCAUUUCACAAUUUUUCUCACCAUCCUAUUGUCGCUCUUCACACUUUUCUUUCUCUGAUUUCUGAUUUUUUAGCUCAAUAUUUCUUUACAUUCUCUCCCAAAUCUUGAUCCCACAAAAACCCAAACACCUCCCUCCAAUUAUCGCUGAUCCCACCAAAAACCAUAAUUCUUUAACGCGAUUUCUUCAACCAAUUUUUCUUACAAAAUCCACUCAUUCGUAAAAAUCGGUUCUUGAGAAAAAACUGUGUCAAUGCCGGCGAAAUUCUUCCCACUGAGAUGGGAGAGCACCGGCGAUAGGUUUGGGUGCGCAUUCGAAACAGGUGCCAAAUUGGGAUUGAAAUGAAGCAAAUCUGAUCUGCGUCGGUCUGAGAUUUUGGGGUAUUGUUUUUGAGUUUCAGUCACCGGGAGUUUCUUCUGUAAAGCUUGCCAGAUUGUCGGCGGGACAUAGUAGAAAUGGGCAGCUGAAUUUCUUGGGUGAAUUUUGAAGGAAAAAUCAGAGGGCAAUUAAGGCAGAAUUUAACUUUUGAUAAUUGCUAGCAACGGUAUCGGAGGGGGGGCAUCGGUUGGGUAAUAUAGAUGGAACAGUAAAAAGUCACCGGGCCAAGCCUUUUUCCCGGGCUUCGUGGGAUGUGUAUCCAGACACCAAACACCCGUAUAAGUCCGUUUACCUUUGCUAAUACGGCUUCAACCAAUGCACCAAACACCCGUAUAAGUCCGUUUACCUUUGAUUCAAUCUUGGGAGAGUGUCACAUAGGAUUAGUCUUAGUGUAUGAGUCUUGGCGUAGCUCCUAUGACAAAAAUUAGUCUUGGGCCAACUCAAUCUUAGGUAAUAUCGGGCUAAUUUAAUCUCGGCCACGGAAAGAUAUGUUUUGGAUUAAAAUAAUACUCCAUAAUCAUAAAAAUAGUUGUGUAGAUACCAUAAGGAUAUUUGUGAUUUGUUGAGGACCGAAUUGCAAAUCUUGAAAGUUCCACUACUUCCAUACCAUUGAAAUACAUUGAUUCAUUUAUCGAAUUCUCGAUAUAGAGAAAUCAAUUGAUUAGAUUGAUGAUUAUGGAGUACAAAAAUUUAACAUAAUUUUGGCACCAAUUGUUUCACAUAAUCAAAGAACUAUGAUUAGAUUGAUGAUUAUUUAGAAAAUAAGCAUCACAUUUUUCAGCUAAGAGGCCACACACACACACAUAUAUAUAUAUAUAUAUAUAUANNNNNNNNNNNNNNNNNNNNNNNNNNNNNNNNNNNNNNNNNNNNNNNNNNNNNNNNNNNNNNNNNNNNNNNNNNNNNNNNNNNNNNNNNNNNNNNNNNNNNNNNNNNNNNNNNNNNNNNNNNNNNNNNNNNNNNNNNNNNNNNNNNNNNNNNNNNNNNNNNNNNNNNNNNNNNNNNNNNNNNNNNNNNNNNNNNNNNNNNNNNNNNNNNNNNNNNNNNNNNNNNNNNNNNNNNNNNNNNNNNNNNNNNNNNNNNNNNNNNNNNNNNNNNNNNNNNNNNNNNNNNNNNNNNNNNNNNNNNNNNNNNNNNNNNNNNNNNNNNNNNNNNNNNNNNNNNNNNNNNNNNNNNNNNNNNNNNNNNNNNNNNNNNNNNNNNNNNNNNNNNNNNNNNNNNNNNNNNNNNNNNNNNNNNNNNNNNNNNNNNNNNNNNNNNNNNNNNNNNNNNNNNNNNNNNNNNNNNNNNNNNNNNNNNNNNNNNNNNNNNNNNNNNNNNNNNNNNNNNNNNNNNNNNNNNNNNNNNNNNNNNNNNNNNNNNNNNNNNNNNNNNNNNNNNNNNNNNNNNNNNNNNNNNNNNNNNNNNNNNNNNNNNNNNNNNNNNNNNNNNNNNNNNNNNNNNNNNNNNNNNNNNNNNNNNNNNNAGAUGUUCAUGUCCAAAUUUUGGUAGAUUUUUUUGAACUUAUACCGAUUUAUGGUGAUUCUUACAAUAUUAACAUCGAUUUGUAUUUUUAUCUUGAAGCUACAUCAAUUAUUCCUACUUCUAAAAGCGUAAAUUAGGACAUGACUGAUAUACAAGAAUGAAAAUGGUGAUUCAUGCAUCCGUUCCCAAUUGUAUGAUUGGUAUAUUUUUUGUGAGGAGAGUCGUUAAUGUUUGAUAUUAGUCAUUCUUUCCCUCUCUCAUGAUAUUGUAUAUUUCCACGAAUAUAAGAUUACUAAAAAAUAAAAUUUUAUUUCUUUUUAAUGAAACUAUCAUAAUUUAUUUUUUAUUUUGACAAUUUUAAUUUUGCAUAAUAAUAAUAAUAAUAAUAAUAAUAAUGAUGAUGAUAUAUUCAAAUUAAAUGACAUUUGAAGUAAAUAAAAUAUCUAAUAUUUAGUUGACAGUCGAAAUUAAGUCAAGUAUAUUAAUUUUUGCCUUCUUAUAUAUCGGAGCUUCUAAAUACUCAUCAUUAUCAGAAGUUAGAUCAACAUCAGAUGAAAUUCUGAUUGCUAACUAAGCUCUAAUUUCGUUGAAAGUCAAACUUAGGUGAAAAUUGCAACAAAAAUAUAAAUUCGUGUAUUUUUUUUUUUUUUUUGCUUAAUUGAAAGUUCAUAUGAAAUUUACAACUUUUUUCAAAGUUCGUGUAUUUUUUUGUCAUAACCCCUAAAUUUAAUUGAAUACAUAGGCCUCGUGUUUGAUGAUAAUUUCUUCGAAGAUGUAAUUAAAACUCCCAAACAUUUUAUGAGAUGUUCAUGUCCAAUUUUUGUCAGAUUUUAUAGAACAUAUUUUGAUAUACUAUAAUUCUUAUAAUGUCAACAUAAAUUUCCAAUGAGAAAUCCAAAGAAAUUUCAACUGUACAUAAAUUUGUUAAAUUGGUGGUGUAAGCAAUUAAAACUCCCACACAAAAAUAAGUCAAUUCAUAUUGGGGACUACUGCACAACCUAAGCAACACUUCUCAUUGUGCCUUUUCAACUAAUUACAUAUACAAACCACAUUUCAAUUUGGGGAAGACAACUUUAGGGAGUCACUAAACUAGUUCACUUCUAGUCAAUUUUUGGUCUUUACAAAACCCCUAAAAUCGCGCGAUUUCGGGUCAUAAAUAUCACCGGAAAAUUGCACGGGGAGACGAAACGUCCCUCCGCCCACCGAUUUUCCCGCCAAAUUUUCGAAAAUCGGCCCCACGACGUCUCCUCUCCCGUGCAAUUCCCGGUGAUAUUCAAGAAACCCCCGGAGCAAAUUUGUCCAGAAAUCCCACAAUUUCAAGAUCUCUCAAGCCCAAAAAACACUAGACUAAUUUAGCCACAACCCUUCAAAAAAGAUUGCAUUUUUUUAAUCUUUUUUUCCCCUUAUAAUCAAGCAGAAGGUCUUGGAUAGGAAGCAGUUUUUCUGGUUGAAUUCUGUGCACUUUUAAUGUGAAGAUGUCUCUGAGCUUCUUCAGUCUUGAGAAUACCUGUGUCUUGAAGCUGUUCCAAAGCCUUCACGACCUCGUCCAUCGUGGGCCGGUACCUAGGCUCCAUGGCUAUGCAUUUCACGGCUAGUGUCGCUGCUCGUAGGGCCGCACCAGGCGUGUACUGGCCCUCUAUACGGGCAUCCAUGACACGGAGCACCCUCCGUUUGCUUGCUAGGUAAGGCCUCGCCCAUUCGAUCAGGUUCUGCUCUCCAUGGGGCCGGUUCUUGUCCAGCACGCGCCUCCCCGUCAGUAUCUCUAGGAGCACGACACCAAAGCUAUACACGUCGCUCCUGGCAGUCAGAUGGCCUACACAAGACAAGAAGAAACCUAAGAUCCCAAAAAAUAAAACAUGCUCCUUGAAAUGUGAAUGAAUGAUGUAAUGAUCAAAUUUUGAUCUAAAAUCUUGGCUCGUGACAUUCUUAGACGAAGAAUCGAGUAAAUCAACGGAAGGGCUUCGACAAUCCAAGUAAAAAUUUCAUGCAGUUCAAGAAUUUGUUCGAAUGUUCAUGUUGUAUACCUGUGGCCAUAUACUCCGGAGCAGCAUAGCCAUAGGUGCCCAUUAUUCGUGUAGAUACGUGGCUCCUUCCAUCGAGUGGCCCGUCCUUAGCCAGCCCGAAAUCAGAAAGCUUCGCGUUGUAGUUCUGUUGGCAAAAUAUGUAAGCAAAAACUUGCAGAGUUGUUUUCUUGAAUAUAUAGAGUGAAGUUAGAGAAUGAUCACACAUACAGCAUCAAGCAAGAUAUUGGAGGCCUUGAAAUCGCGAUAUAUAACUUUGGCUUCUGGGCUGUGAAGGAACGCGAGCCCCCUUGCUGCGCCAAGGGCGACCUUCAUGCGUAGAGUCCAGUCCAACGGCUGGAAAUACGAUGUCCCUAUUCAACAACAUGGCCAAGAGAUUGUGACAAACAAAACAAAAAAGUAUCUCCUUUUAAUAGACAUUCCACUAAUAACAACAACUCACUCCUGAAUAAGUGAUUCUCCAAGCUGCCACGAGGCAUGAACUCGUAAACCAGAAGCCUGUGCUCGUCCUCCAAGCAAUAGCCGAUCAGUUUCACUAGAUUCGGAUGGUGGAGCUGCCCUAGAUAAUUGAUCUCUGUCUGAAAAUCGAAGAGGGAAAAAUGUACCAAAUUUAGACAUUCUGAAUUUAAGGUUGUACUAAUUCAAGAAAGUGAGUUCUGCAUUUGAUCAAGCACAAUGAAUCCAUCAAACAAAUCCAAGAAUGAGUUGUACAUUUGAUCAAACACACAAUUUAUCCAUCAAACAAAACUACAAAAGAGAAGACAAGUGAUCCCAUUCUGAACUAAGGUUGUACUAAUCCAAGAAAGAGUAGUACAUUUGAUCAAGCAUACUAAUGAAUCCAUACAAACCAAAGAAAAAACAAGUGAUGCCAUUCUGAAUUAAGGUUGUAGUAAUCCAAGAAAGAGUUGUACAUUUGAUCAAACACACAAUGAAUCCAUCAAACAAAAGAAAAGACAGGUGAUGCCAUUCUAAAUUAAGGUUGUACUAAUCCAAGAAAGAGUUCCAAAUUUGAUAAAAAAACACAAUACUUAAUCCAUCAAACAAAAGAGAAGACAAGUUAUGGUAACUAACCAGCCAUUCUUUGUGACCUUGUGAACCUUCUUGAUUCAGUCUCUUGACAGCAAUAACCGUUCCUGUCCCCGCCUUGGCGGCUUUGAAAGUCUGCUCAUCGAUCCACCCUUUGAAGACGCAGCCAAAUCCACCCUCCCCCAACACACUGUCGGGGCGGAAGUUUCUAGUACAUAUCCUGAGAUCAUUGAAUCCGAAGCUCUUCAAACCCCCGGUGUCCAAGAUUUCACCCUCAUUCCGAGGGGUCAAUGGCAACGAGGGAGACGAGCGCCUGCUGCUCGUCUCCCCCCCAUCAAAGCUAACAUGCCUAGAACUUGGCCCUGCUUAGGAAAAAUCAUGUGCAUAAACUAAGUUAGCCAUCAAAUAAUUGGACAUCUUUGCAUCAACAACUAAUCCAAUAUCUAUUUUUGUGUUUUCUUUCCAAUAUUGAACAAUUUAGUAGUGACUUCGACAUCAACUUUGCAUCACAUCACAUUAACAUUAUGCAAGAAUGGAUAAUUGCGGCUAAAUACACGAACUUUCACUCAAUUCUGGUUUUGCACAUGAACUAUUGCAUUCAAAUAUACGAACUUUGAAUUGUUCUGAUUUUUCACAUGAUUGUCAAUUUCCGACGAAGUAACGCUAUCGUGACUAUCUGAAGUGACAAAGUAAUGCCAUCGUGACUAGCUGAGGCAGCGUAGACACUAACUACAUCGAUUGUUUAAGCUACGUAGAUAUUUCAGUCGACCACCUCAGCAUUAAUUCGGAGUUAAUUCACAACAAUGUGAAAUUUUCGAAGAAUUCAAAUAAUACAAAUCUAUAUUAUAUUUCUCCAACUAAAAUGAACUGCAUAUUUAGAACAAGAAACUAUCCACCAUUUCCAUAAAAGAAUACAAGCAAUUUUCAUGAUAAAAUGUGAACCUCAAACACAAAAUCCCCAAACCACCAAAAAAAUGAAAACACUCUCUAAUUAUCUUCAACUUGCAUAAAACUCAAGAAAAACAACAACUUUAAACACACACACACACACACACUAACCAUCUCUGUGAGGGCUAUGGUGCGCCCGUAUUCGGGCGCUGCAGCAAGAACCCAUCAAUUCUCUCUCCUCAAAGAGCAAGAAUCAGAGGUGUGAAAGGAGAUAAGGAUGCAAUUCAAUCUAGAGCGAAAACCCACAGCUGGAAAAUUCAAGCAGGAGGUGUGAACGAAGGAAAAGAGAAAUGUGUGGUGAAAGUGUAUUUAAUGUGUGUGUGUGUGUGUGUUUUAUUACGUGGGUUGGAGUUGGGAGUCACGAGAAGGUUGGCUUCCUAUAGGCAACCAGACAACCAGUCAUUACAAUUUUCAAAGCCAUAAGGGUUGACUUUUCCUUCUCACAUUUCAGUCAACUGUCGCUUCUGCAACUUGCUCGCGACGUAGAUACAUGUUUUGUAUGUAUGCGUUGGACAGUGAUGGACCAUAAUUUUUUGUAAAAAAAAUAGCUCAAAUUUUGAGCUUGCAUUUAUAAAUAUUACUCCGUCCCGCGAGUCUUGACAUUUGGGUUCAGCACGGGAAUAAGGAGUUGUAGAUUAGUAUUAAGUGUAAUAAUAAAGUAUAAAAUUGAAAGUAGAAGGAAGGUAAUAAAGUAUAAAGUAAGAGAGAUAUAAUAAAUGUGAUAAAGUAGGAGAGAAAGGUAAUAUAUUGCAAAAAGGAACGUGUAAGAUUCGUGGGACGGCCCAAAAAUGAAAACGUGUCAAGAUUCGUGGGACGGAGAGUACAAAUUUUCGUAAUAAGUUACUAUUUAAUUGGACAUUAUAUUUUUUAUCUGAAAAUGGCUGAAAACAUGAACACAAGUUUUCUUUAAGUUCUAGAGGUAAUCGUGUCUAACACACAAACUUAUUUUGCACAUAAAUUAAAAAAAAUGUCUAAAUAUACGAAUUUUCAUUUUGUGAUUUUGCACAGAUUGUUAAUUGUUCUCAAAUCAAUAUUGAAUGACCUUGAAAGCUAACAGAAUGAUGUAGUCAGCCCCGUUCCGGGGAUUUCAUGGGCCCUAGGCGAAAUGAGAAAAAAAUGGCCCUUUUAAUUGAAUAUGCUUGUGUGCUUGUGGGCCCUUUUUUUUAAUAGAAUAAGAUUGGAGCUUUUGGGUUUGUAUGUAUUUUUUUACUGAUUGAGGCCCAUUGUACAACUAAAAAAAAUUAUUUUCAUAUAAUAAUAGCAAUAAAAAUAAAAAAUUGGGGCCCCAUUUUGCCCUGGGCCCUAGGCGGCCGCACCCCGCGCCUAUGCCCAGGGCCGGGCCUGGAUGUAGUCGAUAAUGUAGUUGGAUGUCUACGUCGUUUUUGCUUGUCAUGGUGGUUUUGAUUUGUCAUUUCAGCCAGAAAAUUGAUGUAUGGGUGAAAAAUAAAAACAAUUAAAAGUUAGUACAUUUUAGAACAUAAUUUUUUCUCCCUCUGUCCCAUUUGAAAUGUCUGAAUCCUAUAAUUUUGAGACAUUUUCAAUGGAAAAAAGUAAUACAUAUCCAAAAUAAGAAUAAUGUGAAAUUUCUUGUAUUCACAUGUAACUACUUUAAAAAUAUAUAUUUUUAAUGGGAGUUGGAAGUAUUGAACAUAUAAAACAAAUAUAUAUAUAUAUAUAUAUAAUCAAAAUAGAAGAAGAAUAUUACUUUCUCCGUCUACGAAAUAUUAUCUUAAUUUGUCAUUUUUAUCCGUUCACAAAAAAUUGUCAUAAUUUAUUUUUAGUAAUAAUUUGUGUGUCUCUUUCUCCACUCACUAACAUGUAGAUCUCAUUCUUACUCACUAACUUAAUUAAUUUUUUUUUAUUUGUGGACUAUUAUUUUCACUUAAUAAAUAAAUAAUAUACUCCCUCCGUCCACGAAUUAAAGCCCCGUUUGAGGGUGGGCACGGAGACUAAGAAAGCUAAAAAAGGUGUUGUAGAUGAAAUAUAAGGGUAGUUGACUAAAGUGAUAAAGUAGUUGACUAAAGUGUUAAAGGUGUUGUGUGGUGGGUCCACUAGUGAUAAAGUGUAAUAAAUAUAGAAUAUAAAAAUGAUAAAGUUGUUGUAAGGUGGGCCCAUUAGUGGUAAAUGGUAGUAAAUAUAGGAAAAGAAGAAGAGUAAAAAGGUACAUAAAGCACAAUAGGGCUUUAAUUGGUGGACAAAAAUUUAAGUGCAAGUAUGGCUUUAAUUCAUGGACGGAGGGAGUAAUUUUUUUCAAAAUAUGUGUCUCCCUCUCUUAGGAUAAUAUUUGGUGGAGGAAGGGAGUAUAUGUCUAAACUAACAUCCUUGUGUAAUAGAAUGAGUCUCACUUACAGUGUGACGCCUUAAAUAGAAUGAGUCUCAGAUACAUUGGAACGGAGGGAGUAAUAUACAUAUACAUAUUACAAAAGGUGGGAUUUAAAAGAAAAAGAAAAAGAAUUAAUAGAUAUUUAUUUAUAUCAUGUGGAGGGAAGGUGGUCUUAUCUCUUUUGUUGUGUAAUGACCACCUUCUAGAAGAUGACAAACGGUGGUUGGCUUGCAUGCUUUUCCAGCCGUUGGAUUGGUCAGAUUUAUUUCUCCAUAUUUAUUUUUCUCACUAAAGUAAAAUUGAUUUAAAUUCAUAUAGAUAAACUUCAACCUUUGCUUGAUUAAAAAGAUAAUGUUGUUUGGAAUAUCCAAUAAUUUCCGUACCAUCGGCCUUUAAUUUAUUAUAUAGUCGCCACAAUUAUGGAUAUUGCAUACUUUAGUAGGGAGCUUCUUUAAUCAUUAAUGGAGACUUGCAGAAAAUUUUAUUAUCGUAGUUCAAAAAUUUAUGUUAGUCGGUUGAAUUUGAAUUUUUAAGUAAAACGGUGACGUUUAAGAGCUUUGAGCAGAUGUGAAGAUAAAAAAAAAAUGUAUAAUUUUUUUAACUAACAAGUUAAUUAGCUUUCGACGAGCUAUGUUACUCUUUAAUUGACUGAAUUUGACUCAAGCUAUAAACUUAACAAUAUAAAUAAAUUCAGAUUAUAUUUGUAAUUUUUAUAAAUUUAGAAUAAAAAAUCACUGUAUGAUCAAAAUUUGAGCUAUUUUUUAAUAAUUAUAUUUUUAUAAAUAAAUAACAUAUGUUGUUUAUAUAUUUGUACACUAUAAAAAUGUGUGAAAUUAAAUUCAAUGGACGAUACAGAAAUGAAAUAGUUAUCCGGAAAAUAAAAAUACUGAACACUAGAAUUGUUCACCCAAUUCCGUUAAACAAUCUACGUCUGAGGGGCCACGUCCAUGGGUAAAUCGUUUACUAAUGAUGAUAAGAUAUAUAUAGGACUUACACGACAGACUCUCUAGCAUUCUAGCCACGAUAUCUUCCCAAACGCUCACUACCGUAAACAAUUGAGAGAAGAACAACAAUCAACUCUCUAAGCGUGAAUAAACCCUAUUCACCACCAACACCCACGAAAUAAUCUUCACCAAUAGGCUGGUAAAGGGAAAAACAAGAAACCCAAAACACCACAGACUUUGCUUACAAACGUAAAAAGCAAAACUCGCUAGUUCGUUCACUCACGCACAGAACGAACUCGACACACUCACAAACAACUCUUUAAACACUGAAUAAGAGUAAUAAACACAGCCACCUCCAACCAAUAUUCUCGUCGCCAUAUAUAGACAGGGCGUGUGAAACCUUAAAAGAAAUAUUGUGAACCAAGGACUCUUCUUGCUGACUCCUUAUCUUCAAAUAACCAAGAAGAUGUGUCUGCUCUCGACUCAGAAAGCAAGUAUAUAUAUCUAAAAUCCACUAGACAUAUACUUCAAAAACGAAUAUAUAGCAGCAAACCUAUGUUUGACUGUACCAGCCAAAGUAUCAGACACUAACAGAUACUAUGAGAGCAAAACUAGCAAAUUUGUCUACAUAAUGACAACAACCAUAAGUAUCAAAUACUCAACAAUAAAUAAGUUCACAACUACCUUGACAUAUUAAUAUUUUCAUUAUAUAUCUUAUUAUAAUUAUGAUACUAUAUAAUGUUUCACCAUAUUAAUUUAUUGGAGAGGAAUAGUUCUCAAAGUUAAAGUUAAUAAACUCUUAUUUAAGAUAUUCGGGGCAAUUUUUUGGAACAUCUUGAUUAUAUUUUUUUAAAGUUUAAUUAUGUAAUGUCUCACCCUAUCACUUUCGUGGGGAGUAGGACUUGUGAAAGCUAAAAUUAAUAAAGUCAUUAAAGAAUUUUGUUGGAACAUUUUGAUUAUAAUUUUGUGGAUGAGAAAGCAAGAUAUAUGAAAUGAUUUUUUCAUAAAUUUUAUUUUGUAUACUCUUUUUUCACAUGUGGGAUUUUUUAAAAUGCUUCGCCUCGAGUCCUCAAUAUUCUUAAUCCGAUCAUAUGCAGCUAUGUAGAUAUGAUAAGAACAUAUAAUUGGUUUUUGAUUUAUUUAUUUUUAUCAUGUUUCCUUGGAUUGGUUAUGCUCCAUGUGACCUAAUAAAUUUAAAUAUGUUUAGUAUUCAUAUUGUUUGGCGUUGGAUGUNAAUGUCUAUAAGUACGUACUCCCUCUGUCCCAGCUGAAAUGUCCUGCUUUCCUUUUUGGGUUGUCCCACUUGAAAUGUCCUGUUUCCUUUUUUGGCAAUACACUCUCUCUCUAUACUUAAUAUUUAAAUAAUUUCCACCAACCCACUUUAUCUACUUUAUACACAUUUCUUAAUCUCCGUGCCGAAAAGAAACAAGACAUUUAAGCUGGGACGGAGGGAGUAUCUUUUUUUUUUCUUUGUACAUGAUUGUGGUGAUUAUUAAAAGCAUAAAGUAUUGAUCUUUAACGAAAAAAAUCCCAUUUUUAGCAAGUUGUGUGUGAUGACCUAGCAUCUAUGACAUAGGCUCAAAAUCAUCAUGUGCCUUUGAAAUUAAUUUCUAUAAACUUUUGUAUUUUUGUUAAUUUGGCUACAAGCAUUGAUAUUUUUUUUGGGGGGGGGGGGUGGGGUGGUCUGCCUUUUUGAAAAUAAAAUUAUUUAUAAUCUUAAGUAUCAUUCCAAUAAUACAUAAAAGUGCGUAUUGCAGCUUCGCCUUUCUUUCUCGAUAUGGUUUCUGAGUAUAAUAUUUUACUUAGGUAUCAAUCUUCAUAUAUAUAUAUAGAGGGCCGUGUUCAAUGGAGAACACCAUCAAAUUAUAUUGAACAUAUCAGUCAUUUUGUUGAACGUUCAUAUAUUUAACAUAAAAAUCCGUUUUACAUGACGUAAACAUAUACUCAUAGACGGAGACAGGGGGGUGGCUGGUAGUGGCCACCACCCCCCUCAAAAUUUUAAAAUUUUCUAAAAUGUAUAUAAAUGUUUAAUUAAAUAUAUGUGUAUAUACAAUUUUUUUAGUGGCCCAUUCUAUAAUCGAGCCCAAUAUAAUUUCUACUUAAAAUCCAAUUUAAUAAGUUGGUUAUACAAAAGUUGAUUUGCUUGUUAUAUACUUAUAUUCACUCAUAUAAUUUUUAGUGAAACUUGGUUAUACAAAAGUUGAUUUGCUUGUUAUAUUCACUCAUAUAUACUUAACUAAAGGAUAAUUGUGUUAUUUAAAACUAUAUAAUCUAUAAAAAAUAUUGUUCAUUAUUAUUAUUACUAUUAUUAUUAUAGUUGUCUUUUAAUAGAAAAUGUAUGAAAUGCCCCAAAAAAAUUUGUUUGUUAUUUAGAUUAUGCUUGUCUUUUAAUAAAAAAUAUCUAAAAUAUACGAAAUGUUCAAAAAAAAUUGUAAUGUAUUGAAACUAAUUUGUAAUAUAUUGAAACUAUAUAAUCUAUGGAAAUGUUGUUCGUUAUUAUUACUAUCAUACUCGUAUUUUAGUAAAAAAUGCCUUAAUUAAUAUACGGAAGUCCAAAAAAAUUUCUCAGGGACUACUGCCCCCGAACCCUCGUACAAAUUCAGCUCCCCACGAACUUAAUUCCUAGCUCCGUCCCUGCAUAUACUCAAUUUUUGGGGUUAUGGGGUUCGACCUUCUAUACGUUCAACAUAAAAAAUCGUUGAACAUGGUGUAAAUAAAUGUUGACCGUUAGAUUAGAUAAUAUCACGGCUAAAAUUUGUUAUUUGUNCGCCAUAUAUUUAUAUUUAGCAGCUAAUGAUCAGAUAUUGCAUAUUUAUAUAUAUAAAAAAAAAACUCUUUAAUUCACUAUUAUUUCUCAUUCCAUUUUAUCCGAGGCCUAUUUCUUUUCGAUACAAUUAUUUAAAAAUAUAAAAUUAAUUGUAAUAUAAAUAUGUGUGAGCUUAUCUUUAAUAUAAUGUAAGUGAUUAAUUAUGAAGGAAACAAAUUAAAUCAAAUGAGAUCGUUUUAAAAAAAUACACACCAAGUAUUUACUUUGAGACUGAGGACUUAAAUGUUUUUUAAUUAAAGAAGAAAACUACUGGAAAAAUGAAAUGCUUUUCUAAUAAUGAUAUAUAGUUGGUAGAUAAUCAGAUAAUGAAACAAUAUUAAUAUUCUUUGUUUGAUGCAGCUAUGACUUUUAAUUACUCCCUCCGUCCACGAAAGAACUUUCUAUUUUUCUAUUUCGGGACGUCCACGAAAGAACUUCCUACUUUUUUCUAUUUUGGGACAAUACCCCACCAAAGACAAUUCCCACCACUCAAAUAACAUUAAUUAAAACAACACAAUAAAUUAUUAAUACUUUUUCACAAUUCUCAAUACACUUUACAACAUUUUCUUCACUCUCAAUACACUAUACAACAUUUUAUUAAAACCCGUGCCACUCCCUCCUAGGAAGUUCUUUCAUGGACGGAGGGAGUAUUAAAAAAAUUGUUCAUUUAAUUUCUUUGACUAUGUCUUUCGACAACCUGCUAAUGUCUAUAAGUACGUACCUUCUUUUUUUCUUUGUACAUGAUUGUGGUGAUUAUUAAAAGCAUAAAUUAUUGAUCUUUAACGAAAAAAAUCCCAUUUUUAGCAAGUUGUGUGUGAUGACCUAGCAUCUAUGACAUAGGCUCAAAAUCAUCAUGUUCCUUUGAAAUUAAUUUCUUUUUAUACUUUUGUAUUUUUGUUAAUUUGGUUAAUUUUUUUUUUGGGGGGGUGGGGUGGGGGGGGGGGGAGGCGGGUGGGUGGUCUGCCUUUUUGAAAAUAAAAUUAUUUAUAAUCUUAAGUAUCAUUCCAAUAUAUAAUAAUACAUAAAAGUGCGUAUUGCAGCUUCGCCUUUCUUUCUCGAUAUGGUUUCUGAAUAUAAUAUUUUACUUAGGUAUCAAUAUUUAUAUAUUAUCACGAAAUUAAGUUUAUAUUUAAUUCGAUCCACCAUGUAUCUAAACCAAUUGUAGCAUGUGCUAGGGCAUAAAAAAGCCUAUUUGUUUGUGCAAUUUUCCAAUACUAUAUUAUUCAUACGUAUUUUAUUUAUGAAUAGACCAAUCAUAUUAUUAUAUAUGUAGGGUAUAGCUUUGACUCAUGAAGGGAAGAAACAAACAAUGCAUUCACAUUCAAAGAACAAGAAAAAAUUCCUAGUUUGAUUUUAUCAAAUUGUCGCUAUAUUUGCUAAUUUGGAUUAGCAUGUCACUUUUGAUUAUGAAUACAAUAAUAUUUUAAAAAAUUAGAAAAACAGAAAUAUGUUACUAAUUAAAAAGUGAUUUGACUUUGGAACUAUGAAACACACCAACUGGCCUCUCCUAAUCUUGGUCCCAUUAUGAUUUACUAUUUUUUUAUCUUCUAUUUUAUUGUGUGGUUAAACAUGAAAAGUCAAUAGGUUGACUGCAUUAACAUAUGGCAUUUAUUUAAGCUUUAAAGACUUAUGUGCUUUAAUGAUUCCAAGGGGGAUGCACAUUUCACAAAAUGAAAUUUUGGUCACGAGAUUUAAAUCAUAGUUAAUAAAUUUAUUCAAAAUUUAUAUUCAUUUUGUCUUCAAAUAAGUGUCAUAUUGUAGAGUUCUUUUUAUCUCUUUUUUAAAGUCGCAUUGUAGACUCUUGAAAUAAAAUUAAGCUAAACUUAUAAUUCUAUCCAUAUAUUAAUAUUAGAACUAGAUGCAUUGUCUUUAUUUUUUUCUUCACUUAAUAGAUAGAGAGAGAAGAUAAUCAAAGUUAAAAUCUUGAAGUCAAGAAAUAUAAUUAAUGAUAUACAUGUAAAAUUAUACUCCUCAUAUGACACUUAUUUAAAGAUGAGAGAAAUAUGUUAUAUACUCGAACUUAUUUGAACCAUCCUUUCUCUUUCUAUAAUUAGAAAUAAAUAAAAAUUUGAUUUUCUAUAAAAGCUGCGAACUACUCCUCCCGUCUCAUAAAAACAUGCAUAACUCAUUUAUAGUAAUAAUUCUUUCACUGAACAUCAUAAUCAAUGUGAGACCCUUUCUCCACUCGCACCAUACUUUACAUGAUUUCUUAAAACCGUGUCGUCCCAAACUAUACAUGUUUUUAUUGUACUGAAUUAUACAUUCAACAAAUAUCGUGAAUUACUUAUGAGAGUAGAUGAUGAUGAGAAAAAAAAAAUCAAAAAAACAACAAUAACAUUUAACUGCCAUUUUCUUUAUAAAAAAAUAAAGGCUCCCUUUUUUGGGCCCAUGUAUCUGCAAAGGAAAUAUUCAAAAUGGGCCAAACAUCAUCUCAAAAAAAUUGAGCCAUCAUUUUUUUAACAUCUAUUUUUGAAAAAUUAAACCACAAUGGACCACUAUUUUGUUAUUGGGCCACGACCCAUUUUAUUUGAAAUAUUUGGGCCUACGACACCCAAAUCAGACAAUAAAAAAAUGAUGCCAUUACCGCUGUGUAGAAGAAGUCACUAUCCAACUUUGUUUCUCUUUGCUCAUUCUAAAAAAUAAACUAGCCAAAAAAAUAUUAAUCCCUUCGUCUUAAUUUUUAGUAUUUAUAUCUUUUUUUUAAUAGUCUCAUUUUUUGUUAUUCAUUUCUAUUUUUAAUAAAAGUAGGCGUGACUCUUCACUUGUAAAAUCUUAUGAUCGAACCACGUAAAAUCUUUGUUGUCUUUAUUAUUUUAUUUAAAUGUAUUGAUACUUGUUUCAUCAGACGUUGCUUAGUAGAUGAUAUAGAUAGAUGAUGUGUGUUACUUAGUAGAAUUCAAAUAGUGGAAAAUAAAGAAUUGUGAGUGUGCUUAGUAGAAAGAUUUGUGCCAUUUCAUACUACAGUUUUGGUGAAUUUAAAUGAGACGUUUAAUUUGCAUGAUUAAUUAUUUUUUAUCCUUAAUAUUACUCCCUCCGUCCAUGAUUUAAUGCCCUAUUUGGGUGUGGGCACGGAGACUAAGAAAGCUGAAAAAGGUGAUGUGGAUGAAAUAUAAGGGUAGUUGACUAAAGUGAUAAAGAUAGUUGACUAAAGUGAUAAAGGUGUUGUGAGUGGGUCCACUAGUGAUAAAGUGUAAUAAAUAUAGAAUAUAAAAAUGAUAAAUGUGUUUUAAGGUGAGUCCAUUAGUGGCAAAUGGUAGUAAGUAUAGGAAAAGAAGAAGAGUAAAAGCGUACAAAAAGCACAAUAGGGCAUUAAAUUGUGGACAAAUUUUUAAAGACAAGUAGAGCAUUAAAUUGUGGAAGGAUGGAGUAGUAAUUUUUAUUUUCAAUUCCACUCUUUGUUGCAUGAUUAAUAAGAUAUAUCAUUGAAUAUUUUUAUUCUCAAUAGUAUGAUUUCUUCAAUGAAAUAUAAAUAAAAUAAAAUUAAUUCAAACACAUUAAAAUAUAUCUAAAUUUGAAUUCAUCAAAAUAAAUAAAUAAUUAAUUCUAUUAUUUUUAUUUAUCAAAGCUCAUUCUCAAAAAAAGUAUACUAGCAACAAAAAAAAAAAUACUCCAUUAACUAUAGCUCCAUUUUGGAAUUUGGACAAUGAAUCUUCAAAAAAAUAAAAAAAUAAAUCAAAACAACGUUUUGCUUAUGCUAUUUCAAAAUAUAAAAUCAAAUUGCCUCAAAAAAUAUAAAGUCAAAUUUCCCACAAAAUUCCCGCCAUCACCUGCUUGAGAGUUAGGGCUGGGAGCUCACAUCCUACUCACCUCCGCCCAUCUCCAUACAACCGCCGCAACGGAAAAUGGCCGGCGCCUCCGAUCCCCAUGGCUCCGCGUUUUCGGCCGCAGAGGUCCGUUUUCAUCUUUCUCAAGUUUCUCCAAUCGCUUCGAUUCGCCAAUUUUCUCAGUUUUACCUUCAUUUUAUUUAUAUUUAUUUAUUAUUUUUAUUUACGCAGCUGGAGUUUCUUGCGGAGGAUGAAAUGAUUGAAAUUGUUCCGAAUUUGAGAAUGGAUCCGCUCAAUUUUAUAUCUGUAUGACUCGUUCUGUAAAUCUCCCCUUCUUACGCGUUUAAUUGGAUUUCCUUCUCAAGCACAACAUUGAUGUUUUAAUUUACUGUUUGUGGUUGAUUUCCUCUGCUAACAGGGGGAUUUCGGUCCUUUUAGACCCCAAAUACCAACUCAAGCGCCGCUGUGGCUGGCCGUGGCCUUGAAGAAGAGAGGGAAGUGCACAAUUCGAGCUCCAGAGUGGAUGUCUGUUGGUGAGUUCGAAGCAGAAACACUCAUUUUGUGAUUAAUCUAAUGGAAUUACGACGAGGCGUUAUUACUGUUAAUACUGGGAAAAAAUUAGAGUGAUAUCUAUUUAGGUUAAUCAGUUAAUCUUAUUGACUUCUUUUGAUCGAUUUGCCAAUUCAUCUACGCAGUCGAGCCUAUCCUACAAUCGUCCAAUUCUUUUUUUUUUUUUUCGUAUAAUCCAAAACACUUCUCUUCAAAAUUCACAGAUCACAUACGCAUUUUCUUUAAGAACAGUCAGUUUUCCAUUAUUGUCUAUGUGAGUUGCUCGCUUCAAGGCCGGCAGGUUGGACCAAUUUGAUAGAGUGCAGUGCAAUCAAAGGCCAGUGCACUGGUUAUUGAAAAUGGAAAUUAGAGAGAAUCAAAAGACUGGCGUGCCCAGCGAAAAGCCAAAUUAUUAUCUAGUUUCCUCCAUGAUCCCUUUCUCUUCAAUCUAUUCUAUUAAAAUCUCCUUUUUCAUUCUAAUGCACAUAGCCAAAAUGAAAUUUUCUUAUGCUAUCGAUAUCUGCUUUUUCCAUAGAUAAGUUAUCACAAGUACUGGAAGCAGAGCGAGAUUCGGAGAAGUUUCAGCCUUUGCCAUUUCACUAUGUAGAAAUAUCAAGGCUUCUUUUUGAUCAGUAAGUAUUUAUAUGUAAUGAUUUAAUUUAAUUUUUCCUGCAUUUUUGGGCAACGGUUUUGAACAUAUAUAUAUUCUCUUUGUGUAGUGCACGAGACGAUAUUCCUGAUAUCUACAUGGUUAGUGAGCUGUUGUCAUGUUCAUAUUCUUUCUUUGGCCUAUCAUUGUCCUGGAAUCUUGAUUCCAAUUUCCAUAUAGGUAAGGUCCCUCAUUGAGGACAUCAAGGAUGUGAGGUUUCAUAAAAUCGGGAAAGGCUUGGAGAUUAUCUCAAAGGAACGUACUUAUGCGCUGAGGGUAUGAAAUUUUGCUUCAGUUUGUAAUUCCACUGCUGUAUAUUAGUCUACAGGGCUAUGUGGAUACAUAUUUGGUUUUGCAACUUUUUGAUGCCUUCAGUUAUGAUAAUGUCUUAGAAGUGUGAGUUCCUUUUCAAUAUCAUAUUCAGUGAAGAAAACUAUUGUCUAUCAUUGUUAAAUUGGUCUAUUUUGUGGAUUGCCUGUUCAUAACCCUCUUGGACUAUUUUUAACGAUCUUACAAUCACUGUCCUAUGUAUGCUGUGAUGGGUUCGGGUCUCAGUAUGGCUGUUAACUCUGUUUCUUGAUAAGGAUGUUUCUCAGUUGUAAUAUUCAUUAGCACAAUAUCUGGUAGGUGGUAACUCGUAUAAAAAAUGCAUUUGUGAACCAGUCGAGAAUAUCUGGUGGCAUCAUUUCGAUAAUUUAUGCAAUAUAUUUCUUCUCAUUUUGUCACAUUUGAUAGUUGUUAGUGAAUGGAAAAUCAAUAUGAGAUUGUUUAAUAUGUUAGUGCGGAUGAAACUAUUUGUAUUUUCUCCCUUCUCAUCAUUAUCCUCAAAACUUGCAGCUCAAGAAUUUAUCUGCUAUGGAAGCAAAUAUAGUGCGCCCAUUUGUUACAAGAGCUCUCGAGACAUUUUAUAAGCUUGGUAGUUCUGAUAUGAUACAAGAAUCGGACCACGCUCCUAAUAGACAACAAGCGACCAAUCGUGGGCCAAGAGUAAGUUGCAUGAUUAUGCUGUCUAAUCCCCCUUACGACUCAAGUUGGCAUCCCCUAUCAAAUGGUUCAACAUACACUUCUAAAAGUAAAAAUUACUAUUAUUGCUCAUAUAUCCAAAUCUUUUCGGCCAGCUUACUCAUCCGCCUUUUUCAAUACUCCAUCAAGCAUUUGAUACUUUAUUAUAACUUGUAGCAUUUGGUAAUAACCGAAAAUAGAUCAUCUGACUGUUCUAGUCAUCGUUACGAGUGACUGUGCUUGUUGACUAUCUUCUGCUCUUGAUUUUCAGCGGCAACUGAAAGAUAGAUGAUUCCUAUCUCCGGAGAUGCUGUACAAAUGUAUUUGUAAUGGUAUCAAACUACAAAUAGUGAGUUCCUCUAAUUGGAUCUAACGGCACUCUGACUCCUUUAUAUAUUUAUCCAACAAAUGUUUCGCCUUUUCUGUGAGAGUGACUGAGUUGAGGAGAAGAAUCAAUCUACAACAGAUGGCCUCUAAUCUUAUCCAAGGACACCUUUAAUUAAAGUAAGGCUAUUCCUUGCAUUUUAUUCAGCUGCUAUGCAUUUCUGCUGGUGAUAUGCAUCCUUAUUCAGUUAUUUGUAUAGUUCUACGGUGGUUUGUGAGGGACAUCUAAUUGCAUAAUCAUAUUUUUGUGAAACAGUCAGCCAUAAACAUGUCUAGUUCAAUAAAAUUUAUCAGUAAUUCAAAUUGUGUGUGUUGUGUUUUGUUGUUAAGGUUUUUAUCUCCACCAAUGAUUAUGGCAGUUGAGAUUCCUAGACAUGCUGAACUGGAGUGCUCCUAAAUUGGUGUUAUAUAUUUGCAGUUUGUUGCUUUUGUCUUAGUUAACUGAAUACCUUUUGAUGGUAAUAAUACCUUUUCAUUUUUUAGCUGUCCCUAAACUUAGAGGUCUGCUAAAAAUCACACACACACACACACACACACACAUAUAUAUAUAUAUAUAUAUAUAUAUAUGUUGAAUCUGCCUUCCUGACUAUCUGGAUGUGUCUAACUCCUAACAUGUAGCAUGUGUUCUAGGAGAGUUACUUCCUUAAAUUAAAAUCUUAUAUGCAUUCUUAAUUCUUGUAGACACAUGUCAGGUUAAGAGUGUUUAGUAAAAAAAAAUAUAGAUUUAUGACACAUUUUUUAUAUACCUGACAAUUUGUAAUAAAAUUCUAAGAAUAUGUGACAACUCUAAAGAAAUACAUGGUCGACGACUUUAGGCAUAUAUCAUCAUACGUCUAUGAUUAGUAUUUGGUUUAAACCAAUAAUUAGGUCGUGUUUAGAUGCUCGAGCUGGACAUUGCUAUAUUCUGUCUAUGUUAGUCUUUCAUACAAUUAGGUUGCAUAUGCAUGUGCAUUUAUACUCCAUUUCAAUAAUUCUGUUUUAUGUCUUUUCCACUCAAAAUGCUUUUGUAUGCUUAGUUUCCUAUCUUUUUGUUGUUGGGUUAUUCUUUAAAAAUAGCCUUAACUUUGAUCUCAUGAUUAUUUUUUAGCCUGAACUUACGAUUAUUAUAAAAAUAGCUCGUACUUAUCUCUAUUGUAUAGUUUGUAGCCCGAGUGAAAAAUUUCAACCAAAUGAAAUUGAUCAUUCGAUUGAGUUCUAUACAUCUAGACACUUGACCAGCUUAUCUUUGAUCAUUCAAUUUAAUUUUGGCUAUUUGAGUUCAAUAUAUUUGUAGUUUUGAUUUGAAGAGUGGCUGAAAAUUUUGAUACGAGCUAUAAGUUGAACAACAUAGAUAAGUACGUGCUAUUUAUAUAAUAAUCAUAAAUUCAGACUAAAAAAUUAUAAUGAUGUCAAAGUUUAGUGUGGAUUAUAUAUUCAGCCUAAAAAUACGUACUUACUAUUUAUGUAACACUAGGAUUAUUUUUUGUAAGAAGUUAUUUGAUUAUAUAAUAAAUAUUUUUUGUAAUUUUCCAAAAAAAAAAUCUACUGAUAUCGUGUUGAUUGUAUUUUUAUUUGGAUUUAAAAAAAAAUAUACUAUCUUGAUUGUUGGUUUGAAUAUGAUGUAGUUUGUACUUAAUUUGGUCAAUUUAUUGUAAUAUAUUUUCAAUAUUAUCUAAGAUUCGUGAAUAUAUUGUACUCCCUCCGUCCCAUAAAGCGUGACCCAUUUCUUUUCGGCACGGGAAUUAAAAAAUUGAUAUUUUGUGUGUUAAGUGUGGUAGAUGAAAAAGUGAAAAGGUGAAUAAAGGGGAAAUUUUUGUCAUUUUUAGAAACAGGUCAAGCUUCGUGGGACAACCCAAAAAGGAAAGUAGGUCACGCUUCGCGGGACGGAGGGAGUAAUAUAUAUGAAGUUACUAGAGUAUAAUAUUAACUAAGAUUCGUGAAUAUAUUUAUUUCUCUUUCUUUAUUUAAGCCCAUUGAAAAUGUUGAAAUAAAGGAGGGAGCAAGUGUUUGAACUUUUGAAAUAUUGAGCCAUCUAAAGUUGAUUGAUGUCCAUCAUUAAUGUAUACUUUUUAACAUUUUGUUGUGACAAUCAUUAUUGUACAUAUACUUUAGCAAAAAGGCGAUUCAAGCUGUGGUCAAAUAAUUGAGACUUUUAAUAAUCAUAAAAAACUAAAAAGAAAAUUCAGCCAAUGAGUGAUCCACAUUUGUACGUGGUCCAUUUUACCCCUGAAUACACCUUUUGGAUUAUUUAUAAAUCAUAACAAUUGAAGCAAUUGUAAUAAUGCUUCAAUUGUAAUAUAAGGGUAUAACCCAAAAUUAAUCCAAAAACUAUCAACAGUAAUUAAUAAAAUAACAAUACUCAAAUUGAUAUUCAGCACCUAUAUAUGUAAAACAUACAAUCAUCAAACAGAUCAAAAUCAGAUAAAUUCAAAUUCAUAUUGAAUAACAUUUUAAUUUUAUUAAUGUUUAGUAGUGCUCAAUCCGAAUCUUGAUACUUAUAACGAAUCUUGACUAGUUAAAUAUUUUAACACACUUUUUUUUUUCUAAUAUAAAAUAUUAUCGACAAUUUAUUGUGCUCAUAAAUUGAAUUGGACACGUCUCAUUAUUCAGUUUGUGGAGUAAAUGAUAUCUUAACUUGGCCAAUUCAAAAUUUUCUCUGCCUUUUUGCAUUUCACGAGUUAGUUUAUAAUCAUAUUUUAUAUGAAAAGUUCAAAACAUAUCAAUUUAAAACUGUUUAAAACUGACGCAUCCAUUUUAAGAUCAUAUAUAGCUGCCAUUUGCCAAAGGAUAAAUACACGGCAAUUAAUGAACGUGGGCCGUUUUACCGACCACAUUCACUCCACAAACUCGAUUAUGCGUUUGUAUAGAUCAAUUAUGAGGCAAAAUGAGAUAAAUCUUAUCUAUUACUAAUAAAGCUAAAUUCUGUUGACUACGUUUAAGUGACAAAGUUGAAGCACUCAUUUUUUUAUAAGAAAUUUUGGAUUCAAUCUCACCAGUCGUGCAGAUAAAUUUUACAUCUUUUGUGUGGUGUAGUAGUUUUGGCUAUGUGCAUAUAGUUUUUCCAUAUUUAUGUGAUGUAAAGGUUUCGCCGACAUGCGAAUAACGUAUUUGAUUAUAUUUAAAUAUCUGUGUAGUUUUAAUUUAAAAAAUAAUAGUCUAAUUUUGUUAAAAUAUUUAUAUUAUUACGAUAAACGAAUGCACGAAGAGACGCGUCUUAUGUUUAAAUUAUAUAUUUUUUUUAUUUACAUUUUCUUUAACUUUUUAUUUGUUGUUACAUUUCUUUCAAAAAUUGUGAAAUUCGAUUAAUUAUAAAAUAUUUAUUAUGCAUAUCAAAUUAAAGAUCACGGUAAGAGCUUUACUAUGAUACUAUAUUUUAUGAUUAAUUUUUCAUUAUAUUUAUAAAUAUAAUAAUUAAAUUGGUAUUAAUUUUAUAUAAAUAUAAAAAUUAAAAAUAUUUUGGCGUGCAAUCUUGCAAAUGCUAGUCAAGAUUAUAAAUUAAAAUUUGCUUCAAAUUAAGAUUAUAAACUAUAAUUAAUUUAAUGUAGCAUAUAAAUCGUGGUUGUUAUCGUGGCGUGUUUAAGCGUUAUCUCCACCGAUUUCUCUCGUCACAAAUUUCUCGUGAGCAGUUUAACUUGCCCAUCACGAAACAUAUCGUGCUGUCCUUUUCCGUCAUUUCACAUCUCAUACAGAUAUGUAUAUCUGUCAUCAUCAACUCCGCCUGCCAGUUGCCUUCUUCGUCUUCCUUCUCUUCUCUGUCCACCUAUAUCUCUUUUCUCUCUCUUCUUAUUGCGAUUAUUUUCAUUCUUAUAUAUAUAUAUGUAUGUAUCUAUAGGAUGAUUCAUUUCUAUUCAUUAUCCGUUUCUGGAUUGGGGAGCGGUGUUUCAACAACAAAUCCGAGCUCAUUAAUCUGCUGAUUUAGGUUUCGUUUAGGGACACAAAUGGUGCAAUUGUUUUACAGAUUUACAAAAUUCAGAAAUUUCGAAUUCGAUUGACACGUAGCUGCCGUUCAAUCAGGAUUCGAAUUCGUCAUCUUCGUUUCCUCUGUAUUUUGUUUGUGAAUUGUUUUUUUUGUGUGUCGCAGGAAAUUUUGUAGGUAUUUUUUUUUUCCUGUUUCUAUAUUUUUUUUCGUUGUUUUUCUUUUUUUGGAUCAAAUUUGAUUUGUUUCGUGUAAAGACGAUGGAGGUUUGAGAGGAAAAGAAGAUUCGAAUUUGGUAGAAGAGUAUUGGCGUUGGUGGUCGGUGGUUGGUGCUGGAAUGAACUGCAAGGUUUAUAGGUCGUCGUCCGAUGAGUUGUGGGCGAGGCAGUCGAACGGAGGAGGGGGAGUGAGCCAUGAGAGCGAGCAUGAUUUGGCGCUCAUGGUUAAUGAUUUCCUCGAGAAUGGGAAUAGUUGUGGCGCUGAUUCUCGAUACAGCAGCGAUAGCGACUCCAGCCUCUCUGAUCUCCUUCAGCUCGCUGACAAAAUCUCCGUUAGUCUCUCUCUCUCUCUCUCUAUAUAUAUAUAUAUAUAUAUAUAUAUAUAUAUCCUCUCUCUGUAUAUAUGCUUAGAGGUGUGCAUGUGUGUGUUGGUUAAGGAAAUGAUUUUGAAGGAAACAAUUGACAGGUUAAAUGUCUUGAUGAAUAGUGUACUUGAAAAUUGAAAUCGAGCUGUCGCUUUUGUAAAUUCAAUUCUUUUUUUCUUCUUUUUUUGAGGUAUUGUGAAUUCAAUUCUAUGCUAUAAUUUUCUAGCUGAAUUAUGCGCAUGCUAGAGUGGCUCAUUGUUUUGGUGAUAGUAAUUGGAUUUAUGGAUAGGGUAAUAAAUGACCUGUAGCUGGAAUUAGGUGGAUCUUUACUACUGUAUGCCUGGAUUUAAGGUAAAUUUGGUGCUUUUGUACACUGACUUUAUGUUCACGUUUUAUCAUGAAUAUAGAUUAUUGAUUGUUGGUGUUGAAAAGGAAAUUGGGUAUAAAAGGAAUUUAGCACAGUGAGUAUAAUAAAUCUUGAUUGUUUCCUGAAUUGUUCGCCUGUAAACUUCUGCUGUUUCCUGUGGCAGUAGUUUUAACAUAUCAUUAAAUUAGAGUUGAGGAAUAGCUCAAAUUUCAUUACUUUUAUCUUCUUUGGGGAUCCAUGAUGGUCAGUCACAUUUACAUUACUCAAAUGUUUUUUACAUAUUGAUUUUAAGCAUGCGGUUUAUGCGUGAAGAAUCCAUAUGUAUAUGAAAGCUAAGCCUUCAAAUCUAUUACUAUCACUUAAGCAACAAUUUCUUUCAACCCCAACCUUUGUCAAAAAUAUAAGUAAUAAUUUAUGGAGAACCUGUGAUAGUUUUCAGUCCCAUGUGAUAAAUGUAUGUUUUUUUCUUGGGCACGUUUCUUCUUUGUAAAUACCAAUUUAAAUUCUUCUGUUGCCAUUAUUUUGUCAAACUUUUUGCUUGGUUAUUCGUUUACCUAUNUGAACUAGUUGUUUUGGCUAUGUGCAUAUAGUUUUUCCAUAUUUAUGUGAUGUAAAGGUUUCGCCGACAUGCGAAUAACGUAUUUGAUUAUAUUUAAAUAUCUGUGUAGUUUUAAUUUAAAAAAUAAUAGUCUAAUUUUGUUAAAAUAUUUAUAUUAUUAUGAUAAACGAAUGCACGAAGAUACGCGUCUUAUGUUUAAACUAUAUAUUUUUCUUUUUAUUUUCAUUUUCUUUAACUUCUUAUUUGUUGUUACAUUUCUUUCUAAAAUUGUGAAAUUCGAUUAAUUAUAAAAUAUUUAAUAUGCAUAUCAAAUUAAAAAUCACGAUAAGAGCUUUAAUAUGAUACUAUAUUUUAUGAAAAUAUUUAAUUUAAAAUGUAAAAAUUAAAUAUGUUUGUAUAUUAAAGUUUUAUAAAUCUCUCUUUCAUCUCUCAUCUUUUUUGAAUAAAUAUAUUUUUAACUUAUUUUUUUGUUUUGUUUUUCACAAUAUCAAAUUUUAUAAUUGUGAUUUUUUUUUUAUAUUUUUUCAAUAUUCAAUUUAAAUAUAUUCAAUCAAAAUUAAUUUUUUUAUUAUAUUUAUAAGUACUCCCUCUGUCCCAAACGAAAUGUCCUAUUUCUUUUCGGCACGGAGAUUAAGAAAUGUGUAUAAAGUAGAUAAAGUGGGUUGGUGGAAAUUAUUUAAAUAUUAAAUAUAUAUAGAGAGAGUGUAUUGCCAAAAAAAGAAACAAAAUAUUUCGUUUGGGACAACCCAAAAAGGAAAGCAGGACAUUUCGUUUGGGACGGAGAGAGUAUAAUAAUUGAAUUAGUAUUAAUUUUAUAUAAAUAUAAAAAUUAAAAAUGUUUUGCAAAUGCUAGUUAAGAUUAUAAAUUAAAAUUUGCUUCAAAUUAAGAUUAUAAACUAUAACUAAUUUAAUGUAGCAUAUAAAUCGUGGUCGUUAUCGUGGCGUGUUCAAGCGUUCACCGAUUUCUCUCGUCACAAAUUUCUCGUGAGCAGUUUAACUUGCCCAUCACGAAACAUAUCGUGCUGUCCUUUUCCGUCAUUUCACAUCUCAUACAGAUAUGUAUAUCUGUCAUCAUCAACUCCGCCUGCCAGUUGCCUUCUUCGUCUUCCUUCUCUUCUCUGUCCACCUAUAUCUCUUUCUUCUCUCUUCUUAUUGCGAUUAUUUUCAUUCUUAUAUAUAUAUGUAUGUAUCUAUAGGAUGAUUCAUUUCUAUUCAUUUUCCGUUUCUGGAUUGGGGAGCGGUGUUUCAACACAAAUCCGAGCUCAUUAAUCUGCUGAUUUAGGUUUCGUUUAGGGACACAAAUGGUGCAAUUGUUUUACAGAUUUACAAAAUUCAGAAAUUUCGAAUUCGAUUGACACGUAGCUGCCGUUCAAUCAGGAUUCGAAUUCGUCAUCUUCGUUUCCUCUGUAUUUUGUUUGUGAAUUGUUUUUGUUGUGCGGAUUGCCAUCGCAGGAAUUUUUGUAGGAAUUUUUUUUUCCUGUUUCUAUAUUUUUUUUCGUUGUUUUCUUUUUUUGGAUCAAAUUUGAUUUGUUUCGUGUAAAGACGAUGGAGGUUUGAGAGGAAAAGAAGAUUCGAAUUUGGUAGAAGAGUAUUGGCGUUGGUGGUCGGUGGUUGGUGCUGGAAUGAACUGCAAGGUUUAUAGGUCGUCGUCCGAUGAGUUGUGGGCGAGGCAGUCGAACGGAGGAGGGGGAGUGAGCCAUGAGAGCGAGCAUGAUUUGGCGCUCAUGGUUAAUGAUUUCCUCGAGAAUGGGAAUAGUUGUGGCGCUGAUUCUCGAUACAGCAGCGAUAGCGACUCCAGCCUCUCUGAUCUCCUUCAGCUCGCUGACAAAAAUCUCCGUUAGUCUCUCUCUCUCUCUCUCUACUAUAUAUAUAUAUAUAUAUAUAUAUAUAUAUCCUGUGUGUGUACAUAUGCUUAGAGGUGUGCAUGUGUGUGUUGGUUAAGGAAAUGAUUUUGAAGGAAACAAUUGGCAGGUUAAAUGUCUUGAUGAAUAGUGUACUUGAAAAUUGAAAUCGAGCUGUCGCUUUUGUAAAUUCAAUUCUUUUUUUCUUCUUUUUUUGUAGGUAUUGGAAUUCAAUUCUAAUGCUAUAAUUUUCUAGCUGAAUUAUGCGCAUGCUAGAGUGGCUCAUUGUUUUGGUGAUAGUAAUUGGAUUUAUGGAUAGGGUAAUAAAUGACCUGUAGCUGGAAUUAGGUGGAUCUUUACUACUGUAUGCCUGGAUUUAAGGUAAAUUUGGUGCUUUUGUACACUGACUUUAUGUUCACGUUUUAUCAUGAAUAUAGAUUAUAGAUUGUUGGUGUUGAAAAGGAAAUCAGGAAUUGAAUAUAGUAUAAUAAAUCUUGAUUGUUUCCUGAAUUGUUCGCCUGUAAACUUCUGCUGUUUCCUGUGGGCCUGUGGCAGUAGUUUUAACAUAUCAUUAAAUUAGAGUUGAGGAAUAGCUCAAAUUUCAUUACUUUUAUCUUCUUUGGGGAUCCAUGAUGGUCAGUCACAUUUACAUUACUCAAAUGUUUUUUACAUAUUGAUUUUAAGCAUGUGGUUUAUGCGUGAAGAAUCCAUAUGUAUAUGAAAGCUAGCUAUCUAUACUAUCACUUAGCAACAAUUUCUUUCAACCACCUUUCAAAUAUAAGAAUAAUUUGUGGAGAACCUGUGAUAGUUUUCAGUCCCAUGUGGCCAUGUGACAAAUGUAGUUUUUUUGGGGCAGUUUCUUCUUUGUAAAUACAGUUCAGAAUUAUUAAAUUCUUCGUUGCCAUUAUUUUGUCAACUUUUUGCUGUUAUUCGUUUACCCAUAUGAACUAGUUGUUUUUGCUUCCUCAGUAUUUCAAGUUGGUGAUGGAUCAAUAUGAAAACGACUUGCUGUCUGUGGUGAAUUCCCUCGCGCUUUCAAUUAAUGAAAGAGACCUCCAUGCUGCGAGCUCAGGUCCGUGCAAAGCCAGCUGCAUCCGGUUCUCCCUAGUAAAACUGCUGAGGAUGUCGGGUUAUGAUGCGGGGUUGUGCACAUCCAGGUGGCAAGGGAGUGAUAAGGUUCCAGGAGGUAAUGACCUCCUUUCUGUCUCUGAGUUUGAUUUUGCAUCUGUAAUAUGCCAUCAAGCAGCUUAAUUGCUAAUUUCCUUCAAGAAUCGUGGUAUAUUUUUCCUCCGUCUGGUUUUCAGUCUAUGCACGAGUGUUAUGAAUGGGGAUUUCUCCCAACUCUUUCACCCGAGAAGCAUUAUGCUACAAAUUAGUAAUAUGAGUUCUCACGUGUUCUGAUACGAUACAAGUUUUCAUUGCCUGCAGGUGAUCACGAGUACAUUGAUGUCAUCCGGUAUAAUGAUACAGGAGUUACUGAGCGCGUGAUUGUUGAUAUCGACUUCAGGAGCCAAUUUGAGAUCGCGAGAGCCGUCGACUCCUACGAUAGGAUACUCAAUUCUCUUCCAGUCAUCUACGUGGGCUCUUUCACUAAGCUUAAACAGUUUCUCCAAGUAAUGGUCGAAGCCGCCAGAUCUUCUCUGAAACAGAACUCAAUGCCUCUCCCUCCAUGGCGAUCUCUUGCUUAUUUGCAAGCUAAGUGGCAGUCUCCGCAUCAAAGGAAAUUCGAUUCUGCUGAACACAACUCGAACACCACUGCUCCCGUCGAUCACAAGAAAUGCGCUGGACAUCUUAAGAGACUGCAUUCCUUACUUCUCUCAGAGAUUGAAGUCGAGCGAGCCCUCAAGCCCUACAACCGCGAUAGGAGGGUGAAAGCCGAGAGGCGAAGGUACGCAUCUUUCAACUAGGAGAAGCGCGCAAAUAAAUCUCUCAACGGGCAAAAUGAUUUUAUAGAAUUUUGUGCUGGACGACGUUAUACAAAUAAAUUCUUAUAUAGCAAGUUUGCAUCAUCAUCACUCUUAUGUUCUUCCACAAAUUCAUUUCAUUUUUGACAAAGUUUUAAGGUUUUUGUAAUAUGGGUUUCAUCAACCAACUGCGGGCCAAUUGUCAAUACAGAGAGUUGUUGCUUUUUUGUCACUGCGGGAAUUUUAAUACUAUUUGUUUUGUCAUCUAUUUGUAGCAACUAGCAAACUGCAAAACUCAAAUCUUUUAUUCUAUUAAUGAGAUUUGUUGUGCUUAUUUUGUAUAUUCUUGGAUUUAUUUUAUUUUAUUUUAUUUAGAAUCAGACCAAGGCUCACCUUUUUGAUUGUGUAAUGAAACUUUUGUGGUGUCUCUGUCUUGAAUAUUUGAUGUUGAGGUCCAAUUGAAAUGAACUUCUACACGCAGCAUUGAUGUGGAGUUUUUCUGGUUCUCCUUUAAAGUAAAAAAGUCGAGAAAAGUGAUAGAUGUCACUCCUUCAUGUAGGUAACAAGAAUAAAUCUAUGUAGUUAAGCAUCUAUCUGUCUAUAAAAGGAGACCCUUUUCUAAAUAUUAUUCGUUUCAUUUCACUUGGCCUAGUUUCUUUUCCGCAUCGUCUUCCUUGAUUUAGCCUAUUUUCUUUUGGAGUAAUAACCCGAUAACUCGAUAAAGUUAGCUCGAAAUCUGAUGGUCUGGUUCUAUUAAUGUCGCUACUUUUAUGUGUGUGUCAUGAUGAUCGGAUUUUAAAAGUUGAUUUGCCACUCCAAGUUCGAGCCUUGUUGGCUUAACCUAUUCUCGAAUUUGAAAAUUGCACCUAUUAUUUUUUUUCAAGUUUACCAUACUAUUUAUAAUUUUUUAUUUUUAUCUUAAAUUUAUUCGACCAUCGAUUUUUUCCUACAUGGACGUAAGAAAUUGACAUGGAGACGGUCGGAAAUAACACGGUGACAGCCGCAAAUAUCACUUGAACUUUAAAACGACACUUUAUUAAAAAAANAUGACAUUUGAAAAAAAUUUUAAAAAAAACAAACAAAAAAAAGAAACAACUUUAUUAAUUAUUAUAGCGUCUAAAUCGGUAUCGUAUAUCAUAUUUGUAUUAGAGUAUACUCCCUCCGUCCUACUGUAAGUGAGAUCUUUUUUUUGGGCACGAGAAUUAAGAAAUGUGUAUUUUGUGUGUAGGUGAAAAAGUGAAAAGGUGUUUAAAUGGAAAAGUUUUUACUCAAAAAGGAAAGGUCUCACUUACAGUGGGACGCCCAAAAUAAAAAGAGUCUCAGAUACAGUGAGACGGAGGGAGUAAAAUGGUAUUUUCACUUGAAUUUAUUACAAUGUCGAUCCUCCCCCACCCCACAAAGAAAGUGUGAUAAAGGUCGCCGACAUAUAAACUACCUAAUCUUGUUUAUCUAUAGUUUUGUGUUGUGGCAUUGUGUGUGAAGUUUUCAUAGGAUGAGAAUCUAAUGUAUGGCCUACUUUGUUGAAUGUUGACCUCACUCUAUCUUUGUCCCUUCCCACAAAUCAUUUUCUCCAAAUUUUGACACUUCCUUCCUAUUUCUCGACACGUUUCCUUCACUUAAUGUUGACGUUUGUCACCGCGUUUUUUCAAUAAUAAUGUCACACUUUUGCUUUUGCACCCUUAUUUUAUUAAAAGAAUUUACGAGUAAAUUAAUCAUUUUGAGAUCAUAUUCAAGAAUAACAUAAGUUGAGGAGAUAUAAUUCAAUCGAUAAAGUUGAGGUAUUAAAACUGUUUUUUUAAUAAAAAAGUUAUCGAAUUAAGUCGUACUAAUACUCCUAUUGUUUAAAUUGGUAUUUUUAUUUAUUUGAUUAUUGAUUUAAUCUGCACUAACGUAUAAUUUUAUUAAUUCAUUUAAUAUAUAUACGAUAUAUUGUAUUUAAAAAUCAACGUAUAAAACUAAAUUUGUGAGCUUUAAUUUAUUACUCCCUCGUUCUAUAUAAUCAGAUCUAUACAAUUUCACUAAUAUUCAAAUUGAAACUCUUUACUUCAGACAUAAUUUUAAUACAGUAUUAUUUUGUUAACAUUUGUACCGUAUCAAAUUUUUUAUGAAUUAAAAAAAACUUUACAUUAUUUAAUGAAAUUACAAUCUGGAAAGUGAUCUACAGAACUGCUGCACCUGUUCCACGAUUCAAAUCUAGCUACAACCGACAUGUCAAUAGUGAAAUCAGCUAAAUAUUUAAUCCCUCCUCGUUUCCUCAAAAGUGGCUCAAAUUUUUUCGACAUAAAAAUUAAAAAUAAAGUGUAAAUUGAUUAAUAGUGAUGAAACCUUCACUUUUUUUAUAAAAAUAAAUAAUUUAUAAUGAAACGAUUCAAAAUAGAAUAAAAAUCGAUUUUAAUGGAACAAGAAAGUAUUGUUAUUAUUAUUAUUAUGGGAAAAUCUCAAACCGUGACUAAAGCAUCUCCCACAGAAUUAAUAUUCUCGAAGACAGCAUGACGUCUACAUUCAGCAAUCUUACAACCAAUCUUACUACAAAAUCUCAUUAAUUAUUACACAUCUCAUUUCGCUCCCAAAUUUUUCCCUUUCCAACUCAUUCCCAUUUCCCACUACGCGUUUUUCUCUUCACACCCAUAAAAUUUUUCAUUAAAUUUCAACAAAUCCAAUAAAAAUCUCAAUUUCACUUCACAGUUAAAAAAAGCCGCAGCCCUUCUCCAAAUUCCACCUCACCACACACAUCUCAGCUUCACCUUCUUCCCCAAUGGCCCCCCCCCAGCCCCCUCCUCCUCCGCCUCCUCCCCCUCCUCGCCCUCCUCUCCGCCGCCUCCGCCAUCGGCGUCAACUACGGCACCCUCGGCGACAACCUCCCCCCUCCGGCGCAGGUCGCCCAGUUCCUCAAGGACAAAACCACCAUCGACCGCGUCAAAAUCUUCGACACCAACCCCGACAUCCUCCGCGCCUUCGCCGGCACCGGCAUCCUCGUCGCCGUCACCGUCCCCAACGGCGAGAUCCCCGCCCUCACCGCCCCCUCCUAUGCCCGCUCCUGGGUCGCCUCCCACAUCGCCCCCUUCCACCCCCAAACCGCCAUCAACUACAUCCUCGUCGGCACCGAGGUCCUCCACUGGGGGCCCCAGCCCCUCGUCGACGCCCUCGUCGCCGCCAUGCGCUCCCUCCACUCCGCCCUCAAACAAUCCAACCUCACCUCCAUCAAAGUCACCACCGCCCACUCCCUCGGCAUCCUCGAAUCCUCCUCGCCCCCCAGCCUCGCCCGAUUCCGCCCCGGCUGGGCCGAGGGGGUGCUCGCCCCCCUCCUCCAGUUCCACCGCGACGCCAAAACCCCCUUCAUGGUCAACCCCUACCCCUACUUCGGCUACAGCCCCCAAAACGCCGAUUUCGCCCUCUUCAAACCUAAUAAAGGCACAUUCGACAAAUUCACCAAGCGCACCUACGGCAACAUGUUCGACAUGCUCAUGGACGCCGUCUACGUGUCGAUGAUGAAAUUAGGGUACAAGGAUGUCGAGAUCGCGGUGGGGGAGACCGGCUGGGCCGCCGCCGGGGACGAAUUCGAGCUGCCGCGGACCACGGUGGCGAACGCCGCGGCGUAUAAUGGCGCGCUGGUGAGGAAGUAUAAUGCCGGGAGGGGGACGCCAUUGAUGCCGAGGAAGAGGUUUGAUGUGUAUCUGUUUGCGCUGUUCAAUGAGAACCAGAAGAGCGGGCCGGCGUCGGAGAGGAAUUUCGGGCUUUUUCGGCCCGAUUUCACGCAGGUUUAUGAUGCUGGUGUGUUGCGGGCCGACGCUUCUGCUCCGGUUAAGGUAAUCGUUUCUGCUUACUUUUUUUUCCACUUUAGCUCGAAAUAGUAGGAAAAAAUAUUUUUUUAAUUUUUUAUAUUUAAUAAAUAUAUUAACUUUAUGAUUUAUUCCGAUUUAAUUGAUCAACAUUGGUGUCCUACUUUCAAUUUUUUUGAUUUUUUUUAAUAUAUUUUUUCUUCAAUUUUAAUUUGGUAUGCUUAAUUUAAUUUUAUGAUUACUAUUCAUGGAUGAAUUAAGACAUAUAAUUAUUUAUUAUUAUUUAAUUUCACUUUAAUUAGUUAAAUGUUGAUGAAUCCAAAGUGGAGGUAGUGUAAUUUUUUAAAGUUUUAAUUUUUGAAAUAUCAAUUAAGUGUAUUUAAUAAUAUUAUAAUAAAUUUAUAAGAGUGUGACACGAUAGCACACAUAGAAUUGUGAAAUAUUGUAUACAUUCUCCUCACUUUAUAAAUUCUAUUAUUCAUAAAUCAUUAGUUUAUAAGACCAUCAUGAUUAAACUUAAGUAAGACCAUCAAUCUUCUCUUGAGAGUGUAUUAAUCUAUAAUUAGAAUUUGUUGAUCAUAAUUAAAAUAUAAGUAGUGUUUGAUUGUGAUGUGCAUAUGGAUUUGAUUCAUGGUGAAUCUAAAUAUAGAUGAUACGUUUAUAAGGAUUAUAUAUAUAGCUUAUAGAAUUGAUGACUUAAUUUAGUUAGUAUUAGUUUAAUGUCGUAGUCGGUGGAAUAGGAUUAGUUUCAAUUUCAUAGAUGAAAUAUUUAAAUUUGACUAACGGUCUUCUAAAUUGAAGAUUUUGUCAAACUAAGUUUGUAUUAUAUCAAAUUAAAAUAUGUGUAUUAUAUUAUGGUAGUGAUGAAUCCAAAAAUCGAGAUGCUUAUUAGCAUGUGAGCUGUCGAUUCUUUGUUUUCUUUUUAGCUUUAAAUCGUGUCAUUUUUUUGCCCGUUAUGCUUUAUUCUUCUCUCUUUCACCUUUCACCUUUCACCUUUCGAAUUACCAAACGCCAUUUGUUUUGCUGCAUAAUAUUUUUUAUUCAAGAUUUUUUUUCUUCGCUUUCUCUUACAUAAUUUAAUCAUUAAUUUCUCCAUGGCAUUCCAACAAAAUAAAUUAGAUUUUUGAUUAAUUAUAUUGCUUCCGUUGAUAAUAAAAUUGUCAGACGGCACAAGUUUUAAUAAAAUGUCAGUAGAGUUCUGAGUGAAGUAAGGGUCACAUUCACGUGGAAUUAUGUGGACCCUUAUACUACUAUAAAUGAAAAUUACAAUUUUAAAUGGUAAAUUUUUCGUUGAUGGAGGAAGUAUCAUGUAUGUGGUGAUUGAUACUUCCGUGAUCUGCUAGCUAAUUUUAUCACAUUAUGUAUGAUACAAGUUUUAAUGAAAUGUAAGUGGAGUUGUGAGUGUAUUAAGGGUCACAUUUUAAAUGUGAGUGGAAUUAUGUGGAUUCUAUUAUUAUAAAUGGAAAUGAUUUUUUAUGGAUGGACAUAAGAGAAAAUUGUAGAAAAUUGUAGCAAAAUUUUCGUUGAUGGAAGAAGUAUCAUACAUGUUUGUGAUUGAUACUUUCGAGAUCUACUAGCUAAGUUUAUGUAUCCACGAAAUUAAUAGGUUAUAAUCUUAUUAUGUUUGUGUCCUUAUCGUGUUGAUUCAAUAAUUUCGUGUUAUGUUCGUGCCGGAUUUGUGUUGUUUUUGUACAACCGGAUAACAAUCCAACAUGCACGAAUUGUUUAGCAUUUAAUUUCGUAUAUCAGUAUUAACCAUUAUCGGAAUAAAGAUAAAUAUAUACUAUUAACAAAUAUUAUUAAAUCUUAACUAAAAAAUAAUAAACCUUAAUGAUAAAAUUAUUAACUAAAAAUUUGAAAAGUUAAAAAUAGAAAGUAAUUAUAUACCAUAUUGGGUAUAAUCAACAAAAUUAACAACUGCAAAUCUAACUAGAACACAAAAAAUUGAAAUUUAAAAAUAGUUAGGUAGAUUUCUUUUUUCUUGAGUUUGAAUCCUGCUAUCUUCACUGUUUGGAUGUCUGGAAUGAUACAAAACUACAUGUUUUUGAAAGUGGUACUUAAAUGUGCAGCCAGCUCCAAAAACGUCGCCGUCGACCCAAGGCGGGAAGAAGUGGUGCGUGCCGAGGCCGGAGGCAACCGAUGCCCAGUUGCAGGCGGACAUAGACUAUGUGUGCAGCCAAGGUGUGGACUGCAGCCCUAUUCAGGCAGGCGGCGCUUGCUUCAACCCGAACAACGUGAGGGCUCACGCGGCUUUCGUCAUGAACUCUUUCUAUCAAAAAGAAGGCCGUCACGACUUCAACUGUGUUUUCUCUAACUCUGCUGUCAUUACCACUACUGAUCCAAGUAUGUUUCUCUACUCCUUUCCUCCAAAUGUUUUGAUUAUUAACAUAGUAAUCUAGUUCAUGACAAGGAUACUUUGGUUUAGUUUACUUUUCAUUUUACUACUGAUUAAUUUCUGUCAUUUGAAAACAAAUGUGUCAUUAUAAGUGGGACGGAGGGAGUGUAUUAUAUCUAUUGCUAUUAUAGUUUUCUUAACAUAAGGAUGAAUAUAAUAUUUGAAUUAUAAAUUUAUCAUGUAAACGGGAGGUUGCAUAAUCUACUCAGUUUUGUGGAUUAUUGAUUUAGAGAGUGUUAUAUGGUUUUUAAAAUAGUUAAUAACCUCCCUAAAAAAUAGUAAGUUCUUUAACUCCAAUUUAUUUUUCAUGAUUUUAUUAGUAGUAAUAAUUUUACAAAAAUAACAGUAUUGUAAUUUGUUAUUUUUCACUAACUUUUUCAAUUUUAUAUUUUAUCGAUUUUGUCUCUCUAAUUCACGAUUAUCUUUUUAACUUAUAAUCUCAAUUACCCAAACACUUGUUAGAUAAAAAAUAGUAAAGUUAAUCCCUUGUUUAUAUUGAUGGAUUGGAACUUUUAAUUUAUCCCAAGAGUCCAAGACCCUUGAUUACUUUUAUCAUUUAAGCUAAUUUUGCCUGAUUCUUAUCCCAUUGCAAGUGUAAGAUUGAAAUAAUCUUAUUUUUUAGGAUAAAAAUAUUCAAUCAUGCAUCUUGUCAAUCAUUCAAAAUAAACGCCCUCUUAUAUGAGCUUAGCUUAGCUAAAUACCCCCUUAAUUUCUUGAUAUGUUGUUCGAUUGGGCGGGCUCGGGCUCAGUACUUACUUAGUCUUGGAUAGUGCCACGUAGAAUUAAUCUUACUUUAUGAGUAUUGGUCUCUCCCAUAACAAAAUUAAUCUGAAGUCAUACUAAUUCAAUAUCCAUUAAUGUUGGGCCACUUUAAUUGAUCCUGUUGAGUAACCAAACACUCCCCAAAAAUAUGUAAAAUCUCGAGCCCAUUUGGAUAUGUAUAGUUAGCAUAUUUUGGUUUUCAUUUUUGGCAUGAUAUGAUUUGUUUUACUAAGAUGUGUGGCAUGUGUUUGUUGCAGGUAAUGGUCCUUGCAAAUACAUCGCUUGAUUCCAUUAGCAGGAAAGGGAAUUUUCUCUUAUUAGGGAAAAUUAACAUUUAUUUGUUAAUUUUAGGCCUCUCUGUUUAUCUUGUAAUUUACUAUGUAUCAUUCUCCACUCUCUUUCCCCUAAAAAAAAAUAAGAAAAAUGAUAUUGUAUGAGUGGGAGAAAUAUUUAUGUAGAAAGUAUGGUAUGAGUUCGAUUAAUUGGGCAUUGCCAAAUUUUUUUCCGCUACACUGAUAUUAUCAUCCUAUAUAGUAUGCAUUCACUAAUUAACCAAAUAAUAAGAUGUAUAAAUCAUAGUUUAUUUUGCAUAUAAACAUUAAUGUUUGGCAUGAUAAUUAUUGAACUAUUAAUUUAAUUUGAUGCAUUGUUAUGUUCGUGUGAUUAUAUUGGUAGAAAUGAUGUUGUUUCAUAGUCGUAUGAUAGUAAGUUUAGCCUAAAUUAUACUUAUUAUGUCCCUUAAAUAACUUUACAUCUUUCCUUUUUUAAUCGUCCUUCACAUAAUUUCUUAUUCAUUUUGGAAUAUUACCCCAGUACUAAUAAUACCCCAUUUAUUUGUACUUUACACAUUUUCACCAUUUUUAAUACGCUUAACAACUUUAUUUUAAAACUCGUCCCUCUCAAUUCUAUGAAGUUAUUUGGAUGACGGAGGUAGGUAGUAAUUAUUCAGCUAGAAUUUGGUGAAAGUUUAAGAAUUUAUAAAUAAUUACCUUUUUUUUAUGAAAUUGUUAGUGCAAAAUUUUGUGUUAUCAAACAUCAAAUUGCCCGUAGAUAUUGCUCAGUUUAUUUGUAGAUAUAUUUUUUUUUGCAUAAACAAAAAAAACGUCAAAUUGCCUGUAGAGCUCGAUUUAUUUGUAGAUUAUAAUUUUUUGAAGGCAAAGAUGACUUAAAAUUUUUAAUUAUUUUGCAUUAAUAAUUAUGUACUAUAGUAUCAAAAUUGUUUUUCUAAGGCAAUAUUUGGUAGAUGAUUAAGGCAUGAUUUAACUAGCUCAUAUAUAUAGAUGAUGAUUUAUUGAUAAGGUAUAAAUAAUAAAUGGUGUAGAUUUAAUGAAAUCUGGUUGGACGGUGGUGAUUGAAUCGAAGUUGCAUUAUUUGAUAUGUAUGACCAAAUGCUUUAUCUUUUUCUGCAUGAGAUUGAUUGAAUCGAUGCUUUAUCUUUUUCUGCAUGAAAUUUUCAAAUGCAUUAUCAGAUGUGUCUGCACUUUAUCUUUAUCACAUGUGUAGAUUGGUGUUGUCAAAUCAAUCCUUUCGUAUAGUAGGGGAGUGAUAAGGCAUACACGAUUUAAUUUUCUGCAUAAGAUAGUCUUGGAGAUUUUUUAUUAUUUAAGACAUACACGAUUUCAAUAACCACCACACCUAUUUCUUCUCUUUCACUCAUAAAAUAGAAAAUCACUCAUAAAAUAGAAAAUUAAAAAAUAUGAAUCAUCAUAAUAUUGGUUCUUCUUCCCUACUUUCUCAUUCAAGUUCAAGCUCAUCUGAUGAUGAGCUUGAACAAUUAAUCAACGAGUGUGAUGUUGAACAUCAAUUGAUGGGUCAACAUAUUUUGAAUAACAAUCUUAUUGUAGCUCAACUGGCUGAAUAUCAAAAUGCUACAAAAAUUCAUGGAGGUUCAGUUCUUGGUCACAAGGUAAUCCAUCGUGACCGAGAAGCAGCAGCUCAUCGUCUCUUCAACGACUAUUUUUCUGAAAAUCCAACAUUCAACGAAGGAAUGUUUCGUAGACGCUUUCGAAUGUCUCGAAGUCUAUUCCUCCGUAUUGUUGAUGCUGUCAAAAAUCAUAAUGGAUUUUUUCGAUUAACGCAUGGAUUGCACAGGAAGAUGGGGCUGUCCACACUGAAACUGCCUUUCGAUAUUGCAUACAGACCGGUAGUGCGGUAUUGUUCAAAUAUGAUGGUGAGUCCACUGCAAUUAAAUGUGUCAAGAAAUUCUGUCGUGCAAUUGUGGAAAUAUUUUCUGAUCAAUAUCUAAGAUCUCCUAAUGCUAGUGAUGUUGCUAGACCACUUUAUAUUGGUAAACAACGUGGAUUUCCAAGAAUGUUAGGUAGUCUUGAUUGUAUGCAUUGGAAGUGAAAAAAUUGUCCAACAGGUUGGGCAGGCUCGUAUGCCGGUCGUAGUGGCUCCCCAACAAUUAUUCUUGAAAUCGUUGCUGAUUAUGACCUUUGGAUAUGGCAUGCAUUCUUUGGUAUGCCAGGAUCCAAUAAUGAUAUUAAUGUGUUGGAAAGAUCUCAUCUUUUCAGUGACCUUGCUAGAGGUAUCACUCCACCGGCACAUUAUGUCAUACAAGGAAAAGAGUAUAAUGUGGGCUAUUAUUUAGCAGAUAGUAUAUAUCCCAAGUGGUCCACACUUGUACAAACUUUUCAUGAACCACGCUCUGUCAAAAAAAAAGUUUUUUACAAUGAGACAGGAAUCGUGUAGGAAAGAUGUGGAGCGUGCAUUCGGAGUUCUUCAAAGUCGAUUUGCAAUUGUUGCAAAUCCAGCUCGCUACUGGCAAAAGAAACAUUUGGAUAAUAUAAUGAAAGCGUGCAUUAUUAUGCAUAAUAUGAUUGUUGAGGAUGAACGUGACCUAUCUGCACCAAUUGAAAUUGCAAGAGAAGUGCCAAUUCCAGAUGUUAAAACAAUGCCAAAUGAAACAAGC
rnacentral:lncRNA from 1 species